rnacentral:lncRNA from 1 species
AGUUAAACAAGUAUGCCUUAAGAAGGCUAGAACAAAAGUAGCAAGGAUCAAAAAGGCAAAGCCUCCUGCCUAGGACCUUCUAACCACUCCUCGAAGUCAAACUCCACGUAGAAUCAUCCUCGGGAUCCUUUGGCUCCUGGACUCCAUCAUAUGAUCACAGUAACCGGGAAAAGGGGAAAAAGAAGUAGGAAAGCAACCAUGAGUACUCAUCCAAAGUACUCGCAAGCAAGGAUCUACACUACAUAUGCAUUGGUAUCAAUGAAAUGGGUAGUAUCUAUGGACUGAACUGCAAAAUGCCAGAAUAAGAGGGGGAUAGCUAGUCCUAUCGAAGACUACGCUUCUCGCAGCCUCCAUCUUGAAGGAGUAGAAGAGAGUAGAUGGUAAGUUAACCAAGUAACAUCGCAUAGCAUAAUCCUACCCGGCGAUCCUCCCCUCGUCACCCUGUGAGAGAGCGAUCACCGGUUGUAUCUGGCACUUGGAAGGGUGUGUUUUAUUAAGUAUCCGGUUCUAGUUCUCAUAAGGUCAAGGUACAACUCCGGGUCGUCCUUUUACCGAGGGACACGGCUAUUCGAAUAGAUAAACUUCCCUGCAGGGGUGCACCACAUUUCCCAACACGCUUGAUCCCCUUUGGCCGGACACACUUUCCUGGGUCAUGCCCGGCCUCGGAAGAUCAACAUGUCACAGCCCUACCUAGGCACAUCAGAGAGGUCAGCACGCAGGUCUAAAUGUUAUGGCGCAGGGGUCUAGGCCCAUCGCCCAUUGCACACCUGCACGUUGCGAGGGCGUCCGGAAAUAGACCUAGCCUCCCUAAUACAAGAGCAGGCGUUCCAGUCCAAUCCGGCGCGCGCCGCUCAGUCGCUGACAUCACGAAGGCUUCGGUUGAUACCACGAUGUCGAGUGCUCAUAACUAUUCCCGCGUAGUUCGUUAGUGCGUAUAGGCCAGUGGCCGGACUCAGAUCAAAUACCAAGAUCUCGUUAAGCGUGUUAUUUAAAUGUAACCGCGGACGCCGACCAGGGUCAGGCCCACCUCUCUCCUAGGUGGUCUCAACCUGCCCUGUCACUCCGCCACAAAGAUCCACCCAGAGGGCCGUCGGGACAAGGGUCCUUUCAGCCCCCAAUCCGUGAAUCACUCGCGGGUACUCUACGAGCCGACCCGUCUUUAGUCAUCACAUGUAUCAUGUAUAAGGUAUAUAAUAUAUACCCAUGAUCACUUCCCUAGUGAUCAUGACCCGAUAGUAUAGCAUGACAGACGGACAAGAAUGUAGGGCCACUAAUGGAAUACUAGCAUCCUAUACUAAUCAUUUAGGAUUGCACGUAAAGGUAACAACAGUAGUAGCAAAGACAAGCUAUGCAUCAGAAUAGGAUUAACGGAAAGCAGUAACAUGCUACACUACUCUAAUGCCAGCAGUAAAGAUAAGAAUAGGCGAUAUCUAGUGAUCAAGGGGGGGGCUUGCCUGGUUGCUCUGGCAAGAAGGAGUCGUCAANNNNNNNNNNNNNNNNNNNNNNNNNNNNNNNNNNNNNNNNNNNNNNNNNNNNNNNNNNNNNNNNNNNNNNNNNNNNNNNNNNNNNNNNNNNNNNNNNNNNNNNNNNNNNNNNNNNNNNNNNNNNNNNNNNNNNNNNNNNNNNNNNNNNNNNNNNNNNNNNNNNNNNNNNNNNNNNNNNNNNNNNNNNNNNNNNNNNNNNNNNNNNNNNNNNNNNNNNNNNNNNNNNUCUCGGGGUCUACCGGAAAGAAGUAACGGAGGGAGAACACAAUAAAUAAUAAAGCAAUCAAAGCAUCACAAAUCAUAACAUGGCAAUAUGCGGUGCUAAGGAUGACCUAACACAGUAUUAGGUGCUACCAACGAAGGGGGGAAACAUCCGGGAAAGUAUUCCUGGUGUUUCGCCAUUUCGGGCAGAUGAACCGAAGGGGAAAAGUUGCAUGUUCUCUAUACUAGGGACAUGUGUUGAACGAACGGACCGUGUAUUCGGAUCUGUCUCGUCAUUAUGAGCAACUUUCAUGUACAAAGUAUUUUCAUCUGAGAUAUCUUUAUUUUAUAUGAAUUUUCAAAGUUUUAAACAUUUUUUAGAAUUACUGGAUUUAAAUUUAAUUCGAAAUUAAAAGGAUAAAAUACUAUGGGUACACAGCGAGCGUACCCAAAAGUGUAUGUGUGUGCCUGACAGUGGGGCCCAGUUGCUGAGUCAGCAGCUGACCGGUCAACCCUUAUUCACUGGAAUAGUGGAGGGUGGCCCCACUUGUCAUAGGUAGUGGGCUUAAACCAAGGGUUAUUUUAAAAGGAGAUUGAUUAAAGACGUGGGGCCCAUGUGUUAGGGGCACAUUAACUUAACAGGGGGUUAGUUUUGUUAGGUAAUUAGGGAGAGGGGCCUAGUAGUUAGUGGGUGAUUAGGGGGCUGUUAGCGGCUAAUAGGGGAUUAGCCCCUUAAUUUGGGUUGGUUGGGGGCCCGCUGGCAGAGGCACAAAGGCCAGCCUCAGCGCGGCUGUGCGCAGGCACGCACGAAGGCCAGGCGCCGCGAGCGGCCGGACCCGACGGUGCGCCGGCGGCCAGGGCCAGCAGGCCACACGGGCAGCCGGGGGAGCGGGUAGCGUGGCCAGCAGGAGCUGCUCCUAGCCGCGGCAAGAAGGGGUCAGCGCGGCUGGCGCGGCCAGCAGCAGCAGCAGAACAACGAGCAGCAGGGGCGAACAGCGGCUGCGGCCAAGCAGCAGCGCGCAGAGUGGUGCGCGAGCGCACGGGAUGCAUAGGCGCGCCGAGGGGCGUGCGUGGCGAGGCGUCGCGGGCGCGACGGGCAUGACAUGGGCGCGGCAACGGGAAGCCGUGGGAGGAUGAACGCGUGUGCAGGCGCGGCCAGGGGCAUCGAGAUGCGGGUGUUCGGCUACGGCGGUUACGAUGACAAACCAAGGGGGAAAAGAGGGGGAACCGGUGGAUGCGCUCACCGCGAGUUUGGGGAGGUGCUCAGGGUAGUCGGGGAUGGUCGGGAUCGAGCGAAUCGACGAUGGUGGCGCGGGGCUGUGGCGGUGAAGAAGGUGAUCAUGGCGUCAUCUUGGGGCCUCCCGAUGCGAACGGAGUAGCGGGCGAGGACGAGCACGAGCACGACAUGAUGGAUCUCACGGAUAGCGCGGGACGACAAUCGGCGGCCGUUGGGCACGCGCACGUAGACGGCGCGGCCAUGGAUGCGUGCGGGCGAGCUCGAGGACGAAUGGAGAGGGGGGAAAGUGGCUAGGGUUCGGCUGGAGGUCGCGGACGACGUCUUUAACCCUAGAAAGGGCCAUGGGAUGGCCGGCACAUCGCCCAUCCAUCGUCCAUGGCGGUUGGAUGGCCACCACGCACUCCCUGCCUCCUGUAGCAUGUAGCAGGAGGUGGAAGGUGAGGUGCGGCUGGGCUGGGCCGGAUGUACACUGUGCACUUAGGCCCAGUGCACAUUAGAUUUUAUUCUUUUCUCUUUUAUUUUGCUAUUCUGUUUCUUUUUUUAUAUUGUAAUUCCUUUAUCCACUAAUUGGAUUUUAUAAAAUAUGUAACUAGUCCCAUAAAUAACAUUGCAAUAUAUAGCAUUGUGGGAGGCAUUUGAAAAGCGUUGGAAUUUUUAUAAUUUUAAAAGUGGUUAAAAUAUUGUUUUGGCCCCUGUGUUAAUUGUUUUAGGUCACAUAAAUAUUUUAUUAAAUGUUGAUUUCACCAUCAUAAUUACUUACAAUUUAUUUGCCACAUAAUUGGUAUGCAUUAUUUUGCAUUGCCACAACAAGUUUGAGUUUAUAAUUAAGUGGGGAAAAAUGUGUUGUUGGUCCACUAUUUUAAUAUACAAGGGCAAUUUUAUACUUUGAAAAAUGUUAAUUCUUUCAUGAAAAAUUGUUAGUGAACAUUUGCAACCCACGGAACAUUUUUGUUUUACCGUAUGAAGGAAUAAUAGUUUGACUUUAUUUUAAAUUUGAGUUUGAAUGGGGUUUGGAACAAAGUGAGGUUUAGCAAACUAACUGCGAUGACAUGGCACCAUUAGGAAGGAUUACUAUAGCUUAAUUAUCCGGACGUCACAACGCGGUACCUCAUCAUACAUGGACGUGUCUGCUUGUCCAAAAUCUGGACGCAGACCAAGGAAGGUUUACAGGUAUUCGGACUGCCACCACACGUACGACACCCUUAUCCCACACAAAAACAUCGCUCGCUCAUGCAUCCUUUCCCAUGCGACCGCACCUUCGCUUCCUGUGCCGCAUUCAUGUCGGCCUAGAGCAGACAUGAUUGGUCUUUGGAGCUGGCAUUGAAGCGACGCGUCGGUCAAGAGUGCCGCAUGCGCCACACCCCUAUCUCUACACAUGUGCAAUGUCAGAGAGACGUGAUCGGAUGGGAUGAGAGGCUAUCUACAACAUUUAAACUGGUUACCCAUAUGUCUGCUUGCCUUCAUUACAUAGGCGCGGCGACCGAGAAACCCAUUUCGGCGAUGCAUCCGCCGCUUGGUCUGGCUCGCGCCCUCUAUUUAUACGUGGUCACAUCUGAUAUGAUUUGCACCGGACUAUGUCUACUUCUGUUCUUCCUCCACGCACCACCUCCGCCAUGACCGCGAGCUCUAGAGCAAUGUGGGAGAGCCACUCAACAGAGCAGAAGCAUGAUUUAGCCAGCCUUGUGGCCCACUAAUAGAGGACGACUUGCCGGUGAGUUCGCCGAAAGUGAGCGACGACGAUACGAUGAUGGAGGAGGCGCUUGACGACAAGCCGGCACCCCUACCUGCGCCGGUCCAUGUCAGCUUCACCACGAAGCAGGCGCAUGCACACUUCAACACUGUCAUGGAGGAAGCGCAGCCUACGCCGUCGGUGUCAUCGUAUUGGCUGGCACAGAAGGACCAACGUUGCAAUUCGGCUGCUCGAACUACACUGGAUGUGGAGGGACAAAAAACCGACGAGCAAGGGAACACAGAUGCGCGUCAGGCCAUGGCCGCAGAGAAUCCAGGCUUCCUAGUCCAGGUGCAGCACCUGCGACAUUCGCCGCGAGCGAUGAUGGUGUGUGUCCUCCGGGGAGAGACUGAUUCCCUGUCCGCGGAGAUCGGCGCAAAGGCGGACCAAGAGGUGCGCAGGCGACCGCGACCAGGAAUGUUGCUGCCUACAUCAACAGCUCCACGCGUGUCGUGUCGCCCGUGCGGUUCGUGCCUGGCUGCAACGACCACGAGGCCGACCCUUCCAUGUCGAUUGCGGACCUCACGUCGACCGGUGAAAUCACAUGGCGGACUUCGGCGUGGACGAGUAGGACACUCAGUGCCCCACGUCUUACUCUUUCCGUCAUCGACGACCUGCAACUUCACUUCCCAGAGCUCGCGGACAUGGCGAAGACAGAACGUGGAACACGAAUGCCUUCAUGUCCGGCGAAGAUUUGGACUAGGUUAAUGUCAUGUCCACCUUUGUUUUGAUGAAACAAGUUGACAAUGUCACGAAUAUGGUCCGGUUUAAAUAAAAAUCGUUUGGUUUACAUGAAAUUCGUUUGAUUUAUUUAGAUCCUGUUUGAAAUGUGUUACUAGGACGUUUGAGAUACACGUUUGGAUAGCCAGCUCAUAUAUCUAUGUCCAUGGAUGUGUUUGAACGCGCCCAAAUGGAUAUUGUGUCCGUUUUAGCGGUCCGCGUGGGAGAUACCCUGACCUAGCAACCGAUUGAGGUGCCUGCUAGUGUCGUUGCCUGCCUCCGUUCCUACGAGACGAGGCAAAUUUUUGUGUUUUGAUCCUUUUCUAAAACCUAUUCGAGAUUUAACUCUAGUUUGAAAUUUUUUUGAGAUCUGACCCUUUUGCUACCGUCAGGGUCCAUAGCGGUAGGGUGUAACAGCCUACCGCCAAGGAUCUUGGCGGUAGGAAACAUCUUUACCGCCAAAUAUACUGGUGAUAGCCUGUACAACACUACCGCCAAGGUGCUUGGCGAUAGGUACGAGCACACACUGUGUUUAAUACUUAGGAGAAUUUUACGGUAGGGCAUGCAAUCCUACCGCCAGUGACCUUGACGGUAGGCUGUUAGACCCCACCACCAUGGACCUUGGCGAUAGCAAAAGAGUCCGAUCUCGAAAUUUUAUCAGAAUAGGGUCAGAUCUCGAAUAGAUAUCAAAAAAAAGUCAAAACACGAAAUUUAGCCAUGAGACGACCACGCACACGAUCGAUGACGACGCAGCUCUUUCGAGGCGAUCAAUCAGCAUUCUGCCAAAGCAAAGCCGGAUCAAGUCAGAUCAGAUGGGUGCAUUGUAUCGGUAUCGGGAGAGGCAGCUAUGCUAGGAGAGACAGACAUUCACGCCCGUACCUACCACCUACGUGCCGCUGCAGCUUGAUUUGGCGUCGCAAAACCAGAGCAGCAAAGCAAAGGCUGCACCACCACUCACCAAUGCACGCGCACAAGCGCGCGUGCGUGCUUGCAUGCAGGCCAGGCCGCCUGCACAGUGCACAACCCUCGGCGAUGAGAUUCCCGCGCCCGCUCUCUGCCUGCACGCGAGGGCGGGCGUACGUACGCGAAUCUUGGCGCGGCUGCCGCAUGCUGCGACGUCAGCGGCGGAAAGUGAAGGAGGCUUUUGUCUGGCUGCGUACUACCUUGCUUCCGUCUUCCUCGGUGCGCUCUGGGAAGGUGAAAAGGAGGAGGAGAGGGUGACGCCGGUCGACGCGUACGGCGACUUUGGGCACAAUCAAGCACGCUGCUUGUUCAAAAGAAAGCUAGGACGGACAGACAGUUUUGCUUUCGAGAAAGAUAUACAUUUGAGCUGCCUUCUCGGAACGUGUGAGGUUCUUUGCUGUACUCAUGGAGAUCGUGGGAUUGUUGGGUCCAUAGAUCGGGAGCGAGGGUGAACAAGGUCUUUUUGGUUUAAACAGUGGGGUCGCUGACUCUCAAACCGCUCGCAUGCUCGAGCUGUUCGGACAUGUUUUACCAUCAAACACACUACCUCGGUGGUCCGUGAAGCGGUUCAGACGUCUAUUUUUCAGUAAACCGGAAGCAAACUGGGGGAUUUUACCAGAGUCUGGACCGGCCGCCACGUAGGACAUCGACACCCCGGCCUAGUCAAAUCCCCUUCUCGGUCUAUUUUUCUUUUACUCCGCCCUUGCGCCUCCCUUGCUUUACAUCCGCACCAUUCUUAUCUGACGCCGCUAUUGUACCUCUCUAGUCGUCGCCCAGUCAUUGUAGGACAUCCGCAGCCGCAACACGCUUGCCUGGACUACGCCGCCAUCAUCGAGGAUCUCCACGGACAAGCACCAUUCGCUCCCUUGCUCACGACGUCCAUGAUGGACACCAUGUCUGGCAAGUGUUCGGUCCAAUGUCACUGAGCUUUUUCGUCAAACAUCUUGUUGUUUUCUAGAAUAAGCACGACGCCAGAGUAUUCGAUGAAAGAGGAUGAGUUGUCGUGCGAUGCGUGAUUGGCCGUAUCUAUGGACUUUGUAGGUAGGAACUCAAGGGACUCGAUCUGUUGGCAAUGGGUGCAUGGUUCCUCUCAUGCGGGAAAACACAACAAGGAUGGACAAUUAGAAAACAUCGUUGGAUGACCGGUUUCCGUAUCAAUGUGUGCGGACUGCCCCGGACCUGUCUACGGAUGGAUACCCGAGUCCGAGUUAGGAUAUGUCUUUCAAAAAAAAAAAGAGUCCGAGUUAGGAUCAACUUUGAAGAUACCCUUGGAUAAAGUUCGUAUUUUGUAAGAACAUUUUUUGGUUUAUGAGAAAACAGGAACGAGAGGACCGUACGACGACAUAGGUUGUGGUGCAUGCGUUUGCGCCGAUCUCUGCCACUGCUGCUGCCGCCGGUGGUACUAGGCCAGCCCCCGUGUCUCCCCACUCGGGGUGCAUGGGCGCAGCGCUGCCGCUCUAGCAAGAGACAAAAAGAGCCCUCUACACCACACCAUCGCCUGCGCAGCCAAAGCUGGGCUCUUUCCCCAAAGCAACAGCGGCUAGCACUGCGAGCAGGCGCCAAACUUUUGUCGCCCGGCUCGAAAUUCACCCAAACCUAGCUCGCUACCCGUAGCUUUUGCCGAAAAGCAUUCGCUGUUGGCUUUGUACGUUGGUCAAUUCAGUUCAAUUCCGCCAGCUUUCUGGAAAGAAAAGGUGGAUGUUUUGUGCUUGUGUCUCAGCAUGAUUGGGCUUUACACGCCAGCAGUAUCCAGGACGCACCAUCGUGGAUUUGACCUUGCCUUCUUUUUAGAGAGAGAGAGAGACGGAGAUAGUGUGGAUUUGACCCUGCUGGUGCGCGAUGUGUGAUGUGUGUCCUGCUCUUGUCGAACGAGGAAAAGAUGGGAUUUUGCUUAAGCGAGAUGAUCAUAUAGACCGGGUCAUUGUUUAUGAGCUAAUUCUUUCGUUUGGGCCAGUAAAAGGGGCUCAGAGCAUCUACAGCUCGACGCCCUAUAUGAUUUGCGAACCCAUCCGGAUGCAUCAGUGGACAGUGACCGGUCAAAUCUUAAAUUUGUCGCUCGCACAACCGUGUACCUCAUAUUCGGCACCCUAAAUCCAUAUUACACAUAUAACGCGAAACUAGCCUACUAGAUCAUCAACAAAACAUAGAGAAAUUCAAACAACGGACAUAGAAAUCGCAGCAAACGGACGCCAAAAUGCACAUAAUCCGCUUUACAUCAUUCAAAAGAUCACCAUAAUUCAUCGCCGGACAUGCUCUAAAGUAAAACAACUAAAAAAUAAUUAUAUAAAAUGGAGGGCGGAGCUUCUACACCACUUCCUCGACGCCCCUUUGCCCUUCUGGUCACCGACGCAGCUGUAGGCGUUCGGGGCAGGGGGUGGAUCAUUGGAGUAGGAGUCAUGGUGGCCGUCGGAGGAGGAUGAAUCAAAGAUGAUGACCAGGUCCUUUAUCCGCUGGACUCCCCGGUCUUGCUGCCACUUGAGCUUGGCCACCCUUGCUGCCUCCACCGCCUCGCGCUCAGACUGCUCAAUGGCUAGUUGGAGCUCCUUGGCGUACUUCCUCCGGAGCCAGCGAGAGUCCAUAUCCGUCAUUGUAAGUGAUCGGCGGUAGAUCCAAGCGAGGAGCGGCUCCUCCUCGUUGGGCAGCGCUGACAACCCUCGACGGGGACGAACAGAUUGCUCCGUCGCCUCCCCCUCCUUUUCCCGCUAACUCGCACGGGCACGCCUCCAAUUCCGGCGUGCGCAUUCGCAGGGGCGGCGGAGCGGGCACUAGAACCCAUCGCUGCCCUUGCCGAGCAUCGGCCGGAGGGGGAGUUGGACGACGGGGAGGUGGCGCGGAUUGAGCAGCCCUCGCCGAGCUGCGUGCUGCCCGGGAGGGGCGAACUCCGACGUCCGCACUGCGCCGGCGGAGAAGCAGUGAGGGAGAAAAUCCGGAACUACUCGCAUGUCCACCCAUGACCAGCGCAAUGCGGAGGACCAGCUCCUCGUCGAGAUCGACGGAGUCCUCGUCGGAGCGACUAUCGGAGCUCGACAUGCUCGUCGGAGACUGGAUUGGAUCAAGUCGGAGAAGUGAAGAAGAAGAGACGGAGGUUGAAUCGGAGAAGGGGAGGAGAAGUGAGCGUAGGGUUUUCAGAUUGGGUAUUUUAUGGGGACGGACUAGGGUCGGCAGUGGGCCGGGCUGACAUGGCGGAUGCGCCCGGGCCGUCUCAUAUCCGCCCUACAUUUGAUUUUUUUUCACAAGUUGGAUAUGAGGGACGCCGGACAGACCAAGCGUUUGAGGUCGGUUUAAGGCGUUCGGGUGGACUAGUUUUUUUUACGGAUAAGAGCAUCUCCAAUAGCUUGUCUAUAUGGAUGUCUCUAUACUCGUUUUCCACGACGUGAGCUCAAAACAGGCGUCCAACAGCUUGUCUAUAUGGUCGUCCAGAUAUACACAUCAUCUAAAUCGACCUCGACAAUGUCCACGCGUGGAUUUGACCCUGCUGGUGCGUGAUGUGUGAUUUGUGUCCUGCUCUUGCCGAACGACGAAAAGAUGGGAUUGUUUUGCUUAACCAACAUGAUGUAGAUUUGGGUCGUUGUUUACGAGCUAGUAAUUCUUUUGUGUGGAAAAGGGUUCAGAGACAACGGGGUUGGCGUUUGUGUUGCACGAAUUUCACACCGCUUCAGACCACGCGUGGUUGGGGAAACGACGAAUAAAUCAAUCAAUUGGUACGUGUAGUGUAUGAUUGGGACACGAGAGCACAUGUGAGUAGGCGAUGAUGUUGUGAUCAAUCUGCCGGAAAGGUGGUGCUCGAAUGGACUCAGAUAAUUGUUCAUUUUUCGAGAAAACUAGCACAGUGGCCUGCGACAUGUUCCAGUUCGAGUAAAUUAUAUAUGGAAUUUUUUUAUUGGACAUAUCCAUGUGAAUACAUAGUGAACAUCGACUCUUAUAUUGAUUCUAAACAUAAGUUACUGUUCUAAAUGUAAAUUAUAGUGAAGGAUAACUCUAAUGGAAAAUUAUUUACUUGCUUACUUUAUGAUUUGAAUAAGCAGGAGAUAUAAGUAUGUACACCUGGCGGAGAAAACACACACCCGUGUCGCUCACGGGUGUGGCUCAGGUGGAAACCCUAGCCGCCACCGUCGCCGCCCUGCCACCGUCUUCUCUAUCUUCUCCCUUGCCGCUGCCGGGGGACAAGGCUUGCAAAGCCUGCUAGGCCGACACCGGUGGUGGGGAUGCCUUCUCGCGUUGAGACCCCUUGUGUGGGGAGAACUCCACUACUAGGGAAAUACUUAUAGGUAGAACAUCAGUAGUAGCGCUGGAAAAUAGCAAGCGCUGCUGCUAUGCUUUUCUGGGGCAGCGCUACAAGUAACGCUUUAGCAGUAGCGCUGGAAAAGAAAAAAAGGCUACUACUAAGUGAGACCUUACGAGCCCACCGACGCUAGCUGUAGUAGCAACGCUGCCCAAAAUACAGAGCUACUGCUAGGCCUUUAGCAGUACCGCUUUUCUACCAACCAGAGCUACUACUAUGGGCACCUUAUCCAUCCGCGUGUCCUCACUCUCCGCUCACACUCUCUCACUCGCUCUGUCUGCCGCGCGCCGUCGCCCGCGGUCACUCCUCUCUCCUCCCUCCGGCGGAGGCUAGGUAUCUGCCUCUCUCCCUCCCUCCUCCUCUCGUCGUCGUCCUCUCUCCUCCCAACGGCGGCCCUCCUCUCUCCUCCCUCCUCCCUCCUCCUCCGACCGCCCUGCGCCCUCCUCCCUCCUCCCACUGCCCUCCUCUCUCAUCCCUCCCCCGCCGCCCGAUGCCCUCUUGCUCACUCAUCCCUCCUCCUCCUCCUCCCACCUCUCUCUGUAUAAAACUUUAGGUAUAGAAAUUUUUAGUAAUAGAAAUUUUUAGGUACAAAAAUGUAUUAGAAUGCUACAUGAGAUUUUUUUAGUAAAUGUAGGUUUUUUGAAUAGAAUAGAAAAAAUCAGUAAAUGUAGGUCAUUUGAAUAGAAUAGGAAAUUUUUAGUAAAUUUUCUUCCUUUGAAUAGAAUAGAAAAAUAGUAAAUGUUGAAUAGAACAGAAAAUUAAAAAAAAUCAGUAAAUGUAGGUCUUUUGAAUACAAUUAAUUUUUUUAUUCGUACGAUGUCGGUCUUUUGAACCCAUUAUCUUUAAGUAUUAUAUGUAUCAAAUAAAAUGUGAAAAUGCCCAUGUCGAUGAUUAGAACUAGGUUUUACAAAAUUUAAGGGUUAAAACUUGGUUUUACAAAUUUUGUUUUUGUUUUAGACAUAUCUUUUUAAUAAUGUUUUUGUUUAUAUUUUGUUUUUUUAGAAAUCAAGGAGCCCAUGCAUCAUUCAGGCUGCCGUCGUCCCCGUCACCAACCCUCUCCGACCUCAAGGUGAGACCAGCCAAAUCCCCAUAUAGAUGGAUGGAUGGAUGGAUAGUUGUGACAAUGUGAUGACCAGCCAAACACCUGCAAGUGGCCUAUGUUUUGCUGGAGUGUCGAUUAAUUUCCAUUCCGGCAAAUUUUGGGCGCUCGAUAUGUCCUUUCUAGCAAAGGUCAUGCGGGAUUAUUCCGUGAAUUUUGGCAUGACUUGUGCUAGAAUAUGUAGGAAAUAUCGAGUCACCCGGAUAUUCUAGAAAGAUAAUUAAACGACAUUUCGAGUUGACUUUAAGUCUGUCGAGGCUCCAUACAUGACAGUCAAAAAUUGAGUGAGGAAGAAUCCCGACUGUUGUCGUGGGGGUCGUUUCUCCUUCUUCUCCGGGUGCUAGACCUUUGUUAUGCACUAGGGGAAGGAGGAGUAACGACCAUCACCGAUCGUCGAAAAAUCAGUGAGGGAGUGUCCAGUAUAUAUGAGAGAGGACGAAGAAUUCCGACUGUUGUCGUGGGGGUCGUUUAUCCUUCUUCUCUGGGUGCUAGACCUUUGUUAUGCACUAGGGGAAGGAGAAGUAACGACCAUCACCGACGGUCAAAAAAUUAGUGAGAGAGUGUUCACCAUAUAUGAGAGAGGACGAAGAAUCCCGACUGUUGUCAUGGGUGUUGUUUCUCCUUCUUCUCCUUGUGGUAGACCUUUGUUAUGCACUAGGGGAGGAGGAGUAACGACCAUCAUCGACGGUCAAAAAAUCAUUGAGGGAGUGUCCACCAUAUACACCACAUGAGAUGAGAUGACAGUUUUCAAGAAAAGACUCGACAGACCGACAGUCAACCCGUGAUGAAUAAUAAUGAUCUAAUUUAGUUUUUGUAGUACAUAUAUUGUAUUUUACAAGUUUAAUGUUUAAAUUAUGGACAUAGGAAAUGUCUUACGACGAUGAUAGGAUCCCGAAGUGCGACUACUGCGGAAACGACCGGGGUCUGUCGACGGGCCUCACCUGGUAGGCGGUCGGCGCUUCAGUGUUAAGCUCGAUGAGAUCUUCGAUGUUGAAAUGGUACGCAGCGACAAGUCUUUUUCGUAAUUAAUCAUGCUUUAUGCUUAUUCAACGUGUAAUUUUCGUCUUUUACAAUUCGACUAGCUUAUCCCAUGCCAUGCAAGGCGCUAUGUCUUGGAGCAUCUGGAUUUUGAAGAUCAUGAAAAAAUGGAUACAAAGAUAGUUCAUCUCAGGACCCAUAAUGGUUAUGAUUUUGCUGUAAAUCUAUACAAUUCGGAGAGCGUAUUCCAUUUUGGUUGCUCGAAUUGGGAAGCACUGUGGAAGGCAUAUGAUUUUCAGGAGGGUAUGUAUGUCACCUUCGAUCUUGGUGAUCAUGACGAUGGCAUUUGGGUCCCUGUUGAUACGCUUCCACUUCUUCCUCUAUGUAAAUUUCUCAAGCAUAUUUAUUAAGUAAUUUAUAUAGUUUAUUUCAAAAUAGUUGAGAGCUUAUUUCCAUUAACAACUUAUUUUCAUUCUUCAAAAAAUGAACGAAAGAUGUAGACAGAAUCUACUACACUGAUGGCCUAGAAUUAACUUAUCAGCAGAAAGAUCAUCUUAUCUCAUUUAUUAAUGAUGCCGAGAAUCACAAUAUCAAUUAUCAAACUCCUGCACAUUAUGGUCAAUACGUGCGACUAGCGCACAUGUUGAACUACGGUAACAUCCAUGGAGAUGGCAUGGUAAGAUUUUUUACUAUUAUGACAUCCGUGCAUCUUUUGCAUAAAUUCUUUUAAAACUAGACUACAUUGCUAACUACAAAGUUAUUACUAUGUUUUUCAACAGAAAAUCCCGAAGAAUUGUAUGCUUGAUCUGAUGCUUCCGAAAGGUCGCCUUGAUGUUAUUAGCUUACGGCCAGGUCAUCCUAGGCUUCACUGAUGUUCAUACCGGAUUUCUAAAACCGAUGAAGACAUGACAAUCAAAGACUGGAAAAAUGUAUGGACAAUCGUAGGGAGCUACUUGGAAGCAACAUUGUGCGAAGCGCAAGAAUUGGAGACGGGAUAAUCUCUAUUCUCCAUAAUGGAGCGUCAGGGCCUAUCUUGUUUUAUGCUAAUUUACCUUAGAGAGGGUAGUAGGUCCUAGUUAAUACUCAUGAUCAUCUGCUAAGAACAAUUAAGUAUGGUUGGUUAGAUGACUAUGAUGAUGAGUAUGACUUGUUAUUAUGAUAACGAGUAGAAGUUGUAUGAUGAUGAUGAGUAGGACUUUUUAUUAUAAUAACAAUGAUGAGUUAUUUAUUAUUAUGAUGAUGCAUGAUGCUAAGUUGUUAUAUAUAUGAGCAUGUUGAGUUACUAUAUAUAUAUAUAUAUAUAUAUAUAUAUAUAUAUAUAUAUAUAUAUAUAUAUAUAUAUAUAUAUCAGUCGGUGAAAUGAAUGUGGAACAUGUUGGAUUAGUAGUACUUUCGAUGUGCACCACGUGUUGCCUCCACUUGAAUCUAAUCCACGUUCAUUUCACCCACUGAUAUAUAUAAUAACUAAUCAUGGUCAUAAAAUCAUAUGAUGAAAGUACUGUAUAUAAAACCUAUACAAACACAAUGACAAUAAGCUGCAUAUUCAAAAAUACAGGCAAAUUUAGCAGUAGCGCUUUUCAUAAGAAACGCUACUGCUACUUACUAUUAUCAGUAGCGCUGUUACCGACCGAGCGCUACUGCUAACUAGGUAUAGCAGUAGCGCUGGAAAACCAGCGCUACUGCUACCAGUCAGCUGUAGCGCCUUAGUGGUAGAGCUUGUAUAAGCGCUAUUGAUAGCUAUAAAUCCAGCGCUACUACUACGGUUAUCCCUAGUAGUGCUCCGGCCGGCGCGGCGUGGCGGCCCCGGAUGACUUGGUUUAGGAGGCGAAGCUUGGGAGCCAGGGAGGUAACCCCAGGUGCUGGUGGUGGUGCUACCGAGGUGGCCGCGCGGGCGGCGUUGGGGCAGACCUGCUGCGGCGGCGAGGUCCUGUGAUGGCGGCGUGGAGGUGCAAUCUCACAUCGGUUAUGCGGCGGCGGCCUGACACGAGGUGUUCGAGGUCGUGGCAGCCUUCAGGACCAGACCUGGGGCGGUGCGGGCACUCAUCUCCUGCCACUACCGGUGGAGGAGAUCGGGGCAGCCUGUUCCCGGGAGCCGACGACGUGGGGGUUGAUGGCCUGGGUCAAUAAAGGUGGACGCCCUAUUGUUCUUCUUGGGUCAAACCAUCAAUCUUCCUGAUGUCAAUCCUCCUGAUCUCGCCACCGACGAGUUCCGGAAUUCUCCGUCGGAGAUCUAAUUGGAUUGGUGAAAUGCCCCUGGAUUUCUGGAUCGGAGGGGAUCCGGUCGUGCACGACUGUACAUCAGUCUGUGAGGCUUCAAGAGGGCAUGGCGUGAAGCUAUCGUGGGACAUGUCUUCCUCUAGAUUUUCGUGGUAUGGACAGAGAUGGGGAAUGUCAUGGUGGCUGAGAUUGCAGGACAUGAAGAAGGGGUGGAGAGGUGCCUUGGAUGUGAUGAAGUAGCUUCAUAGGGUGUUGUUCGGGCAUGGCAUACGGGGCGGUGUUCUUAUCCAUCUCCGACACAUGAUCCUGUGAGCCUGGUGUUUGGUUACUUGUAGUAGCGGCCUCGGCAAGUUGCGGUGGUAGCACUGGAGUACUUCAUGUUGGUGGUACUCCUUGUGUACCGGGUCUUGAUUCUCAGGGUGAAAGCUCAAGAUCUGACUUUGCUAGUUGUACCUGGCAAUGGCCUUGUCGAUGGCAUUGUUUUGAGAACUCGGAUUAUCUUCAGGGUGAAAACCCAAAAGCAAUUGAUCAGGCGACGACACCGCUUAUGCAUUAUUCCCUUGUUGGAGGCGUAGCUUUUGAAGAACCUCUUAUGUAAUCUGGGUGUUGUCUUUGGUGGUGGUUUGUGUGUUGUUGUUGUGAGUGAUUAACUACUUUGACGAGUUUUUAUUUAUUUAUUUAUUUUUCUUCAUUUUUGUUUUAGGUUGUUGUGUGCAUCAUCAAUGUCUAGUUGGCAUUUUGUUGGUGUAGAGGUUGAGUGUCUGGUAUCUUCGCGAUAUUAAUAUAUUUCUUUUGUGAAAAAAGAAGUAUGUACACAUACGUGCAUGCUUGAUCAAUACAUACAACAACAGUUCUUUAUGGGUUGUCCCCUCGUAAGUACGUUGAACUGAUACUGCGCUAAUCGAGGGAUGAAUUUUGCUAUUUUUGAAAAUUUAAUAAGAAUAUGUGUUGCUAGGAACACCAGAUUACUUACACAUUUUUGUCUACUUCUCUUCCUAACCAUACGAAAGAUGAUCAAAAGUAAUGUGGUACCUUUAUGUGAGCAGACUAAUGCCUUACAAACUAUCCAACUAUCGCAUUCCAAGAGGAUGCAAUGUUACUUGAUAGAUAACAAGAAUUGUAAAACCAUAUAUUGUGAAUUGAUAAAAAAUAAGUUCACCAACAAUCAUCUUUGAAAUAUUGAGUCGGUCUCACUCCCAUUGUGUCCUAACAUCAUGGCUUCCGGUUUCCAAGUCUCUAGCAAUAGCCAACGAUAAACAGUGCAAAACAAUGGCAAUGCAGCAACCAACAAAAUGUAAAUGAAGUAUAGCAUAUCAUAUCAUAGGUGGAUUGAUAGUUCAGUUCAAUUUCAUACAAUAUAGAUAUCAAGUUCAUACAACAUAGAUAGUAUGUGACCGAGAGUGGGAUUUUGGAAUCCGGGUGUAUUGGAGGACCUUAUUUUAAAUACUUUGAAAAUCACAUUUAAUGUUUCAAAAAAUUCUGAAAAAAAUUCUACGUGAUCAUAUCGAUGUAUAUUACACAUGUGUAAAGUUUGGUGAUGAAAUAAGUAAAUAGGCGACCUAUAUAAAAAUGACAAAAUGGUGAUUUCCAAAUAGUGAAUAAUGCAUGCACUGUUCAUCUUUCCAAAACCACGAUUUUGUCAUUUUUGUGUAACUCACAUGGUUACUUAUUUCAGCAUCAAAAUUUGCACAUGUGAAAUAUACAUUCAUAUAAACAUGUUGAUUUGUUUUCAGAAUUUUUUAAAACUUCAAAAAAGCAUUUUGGCACAGUUCAAAAAAUAGGGCUCCAAUGCACCUGGGUUCCAAAGUGACUUUUUGGUAUGUGACCACCCUCUUCAAUACUACAAUAAGGUUUGUCCGACUGAGUUGAAUCUUAAUUAGUGUCAUUUUGUUGAAGAUCUCCAAAAUUUGAUAACGCGUCCUUCCAGCGGGCGACACGGGUGGUGAUCCCGCCGCUGCUCCUCUAACCCCCUGUACAACCCCCCUGUCGCCGCCAACGCCACCAGGGCAAAGCCCCGGUGUUGGUCGGCGGCGGCGGGUGCUCGCGCCUCCCCUGUGACCGGAGCCCCCUUCCUUUCUCCUCAUGUAGCAGACCGCAUCGCCACCGGUGGGAUCCGUCCCGCGUGCGUUGCCCCAGUCCUGCUACGGAUCACCGGUGGGAGGCCUCCCGGCUACGCCUCUGGUAGCUGGUUGCUGGAUCUGGUUCACCUCGCCUCAGAUCUAGUCCGUGCUGGCACCCUACUGCCCUUCGGUGGACCUCAGUCAUGGUUGCUCAUGCCCUUGCUGCAGAGCACUCUCUGUCAGGGGGACAGGGUGGAUGGAGGUGACCGGAGCGACUCGUUGGGGGCUAGUGCGGUGCUACGUGGGCUGGCUGGUGACUGGCCCUCGCCUCUGGCUGGCCCCGACAACACCAUGGCUGUGAGGGUAGCAUUGGGGCCGACCAUGGCGGCGGAUCUAGGGUUUCCAGCCCAGAUCUAUUUCUCUUCGGCAGAGGUCCUAGGGUUCUUCUAGUGCCAAAACAGUGUUCUGCUUGAUGCCGGCCCUCAUUGAUCUGGUCAUUGACGGGUUUUGGAAGGCUCCGCCGGAGAUCUCCAGUGGGUGCUUGACGCAUGUAGAUUUCUGGAUCGGAUAGGAUUCGCUCAUGUGCGCCCCUAUUUUAGCUCGAGUGGCUUUAGGAGGGCGUGACGCGAAGCUUCGUUGUGUGUUGACAUUACGGAACAUGUCGGUAUGUAAUGGCGGAUCGAGUCUUCGUGGCAAUGGGGACUUUGCCUUGUGAUUCAUGACUGGUAGCAGUGGCAUCGACAAGUGGGGGCGGCAACACAGGCGGAGUACAUAGUCUUAGCUUUGAGGGUGAAAAUCCAAGGCAUGGCCUUAAUUGAUUGUGCAUGGCAAUAACCUUGUUGAAGGCAUUGUUUUUAGAGUAUGGAUCUUCUUCAGGGUGAAAACCUAAGAUUUAGUAUCAGGCGAUGACGGUGCUUGUGCACUGUUUACUUCUUAGAGGCAUCGUUUUUGGACUUUGGGUGUUGUCUAGUUGGUAGUUCAUGCUGCAGCUACAAGGAAUUAAUCACUAUAGCAAGAUCUUUCUUCUUCUUCUUCUUCUUCUUCUUCUUCUAGUCUUUUGGCUGUGUGCAUCCUAAUGUCUUUAUGACAUUGCGUUGUUGCAGAGACUGGGUGUAAUUGAUAUCUCUGCGAUAUUAAUAAAUUCCCUUGUAAAAAAAUAAAUAAAUAAGCAUAUGACAAAUCAGGUUACCCAAACGACAUCUCUUUCAAGUUCUGGGUACUUGUACUAUGCCCAAGAAGUGGUUUUCGAUCAAACAACAGAGAAACUCUACCACACCCAUGAUUAGUGGUGCUCUUUUCACCCUACCGUGAUUCUUUGUGAUGUGUGCACAAAAUGGCCAUUAUUUCCGGUACAUGUAGAUAAAGGUCAUCCAUCUAUUGGGUGUAUCACUUGUAUAAACAGAAAUGAAUUCAAAAAAAAAAUCUGAACUUUUUUUUUGUGCCAAACAUUGCCAGAUAUUUUGAGUGGUUGCAAGGUUUUAUCAUAUAGAAUGACAUUUAUGGAAGUGAUGGCAAAAAACAAAGUCGAUGCUCCAAAACUGAUAUUUUCGAAAGCAUUUAGGAGUGCUGAUAAUUUUUUGCCAUGACUUCUGCAAAUAUCAUUUCAUGAUGAAAUUUUGCAUGUGCUUAAAACAUUUGUCAAAGUUUGUAAAAAAACAUCAUUUUAUUUUUAUUUUACUCUUCAUCACGAGCUCAUUUGAGAUUGUGAGAAGAGGACUUUCGCUCUAGCUCGCCUCAUUUGGGUCCGAGGAACAGUACGUGCUUGCUGCCACAAUCAAGCAUGGCCAUGAAUAUGAAACCACUGCAGCAGACAGAAGCUCCGUCCCGAAUCCUACCCAGCAACAGCAACAAGAUCGCAACGAAACGGCAACAGUUCGUAGCACUAGCAGUGGAGGUCGUGCACGGAAGCAACGCAGAUACUAUGCAUGAGCAGGAGACCGACCGACCGACCGACCGGACGUACGUGCGUUCCAGGAGCGGUGGGUUUCCAUCACUUCACGACUUGAAUACGCACCGCACCCCCAGCUCUCGGGGUGAAUGAACCUAGCGUAGCGCCAUUGCUGUUGCUCAUCUGCUGCUGUAGCGGCACUGGCAGCUGGCUUCCUUUUGCUUUUCUUAUUUUUCUACCAUACAGUAUCUCGUUGGGAGUCAUUGCUUGUGUCGUGUGACGCUUUUCGGACAGGCACACGUCCGAGCUGUUGGGUCUCUUUCUGCAGAGACGAAUUGAUCUACCGUCGUACACCGUAUAUUUCUUGCCACAGUAUAUUUCUUGCCACUAAUAUUAUGGUCUGCCAGGCAGGCCACUGUUUUUUGUUUUCAAAAAAGACGAAUCAUAAAUUGAUCUACCGUCGUACACUCUAUAUUUCGUGAUGUUGGCCGAGUCACGGAUCCACCGGCAGGAGAGGGGACAACGAAAACGAAGUAAAAACACGGUGUCCUCUACGAAUCUCCCAUUCAGAUCCCAUAGCCGCUGCAGGUAAUCAUGGAGGAUGCAGCCUCGAGGACCGCGUACAUGUAGGCCUCACAUAAGCAUGUGUAAUCAUGGAGUAUCUCAUUUGCAGUACAUGAUGCCACAACUCUUGUGUACAAGUAGUAGCAGCAUGUGGCGAGAAGCAAGAAAGAUGCGAUGAUGUUCUGACCAAGGCACGAGACGAUUGGUAAUUUUGACAUUUUCUGUCGUUCUGUAUAGCGUACAUUGCUGAGCAUAUAUCAGGCGUUCAUGAACAGUUUACUACCCCUGUGAAGAUCACAAUACGGACGGGAACAUAGCGCAUGCGAUUUAGGAGCAAAAGACAAAUCUCGUCAAACUCUACGGAUUCCAGGAUCUUUUGGCCACGGACGAGACAAGCCGCUAGGAUCUAAACGCGGCCAGAUGGCUUGGCUCCCAGCGCAGAUUGCCAACACCAACACCAACACGUACUACGUAACAUGCGUCCAAAUCCCUAUGCAGUACCACCACGCGCGCCGUCUCGACGAACCCGUAUGUCCCACGGGCUCAUAGGGUCGUAGCCUUUGAGACAGCUCGUGGCUAGCCAACACCCACAGAGAGCGGCUUGACGAUUAAUUAACAUGCUAAUUGGCCAAUCAUGGCCUGCUGCGGCAAGGGUAAAGUGCUAAUCUCUAUCCUAAUCUCUUACAUGGGAGUGAUUUGCGUUGGACCACGGCGCCAAUGAUGAUGGUGCAUGAUCAUCACGCCUUUUUUGUUUUCAAUUGCCCAUGAUUAUAUUAGCGCAGGUGAUGAUAUCUAGAAGGCUAUUAGGAAAGCAUGAUUGUCUCUAGGGGACCAACGGAUGUGGAGGCAUGGUCCUCACCCUCCAAGUGUCAACCAAAUGGGAUUAUCAGAGGUUGAGCUUUUUGGUUCGGAGUUUUAGGGCAUCUUCAUGGGCACUCCAUAAUACUCCCACAUAUGUCCACCCGAACGACAUUGCCCGAACAAAUGCAGCCCAAUGGGCUCCCCCAAAGAUCCCCUCUAUACCGGACUGUCUGCAUGGACAUGUCCGUCAUGUAAGCCCCGAUCCACCACUCACACCUCUCCCUCUCCCUCUGAUGCGGAGCAUCCCAUGACCAUUCUCAUGGACGCACCUACACCUCCAACAGGCCCCGGACAUCCGGCCUUUCCCGAGCCCCCGGAUAUCCGGCCACCAGCCCGGAAAUCCGGACCCCUUCGAACCCGAGAGCAACAAAGCCCACCGCUCUAGCCCGGACAUCCGGCCUCCUCAGCCCGGACAUCCGGCGUCGCGUGAAAGCCCGGACAUCCGGCCUCCCCUGUCUGCGCACAGUGAAGGNNNNNNNNNNNNNNNNNNNNNNNNNNNNNNNNNNNNNNNNNNNNNNNNNNNNNNNNNNNNNNNNNNNNNNNNNNNNNNNNNNNNNNNNNNNNNNNNNNNNNNNNNNNNNNNNNNNNNNNNNNNNNNNNNNNNNNNNNNNNNNNNNNNNNNNNNNNNNNNNNNNNNNNNNNNNNNNNNNNNNNNNNNNNNNNNNNNNNNNNNNNNNNNNNNNNNNNNNNNNNNNNNNNNNNNNNNNNNNNNNNNNNNNNNNNNNNNNNNNNNNNNNNNNNNNAUAUACUCCACCUCGUCCAACUUUUUAGGGUUAGCAUUGGUUUAGCUCAUUUUAGAGAUAGAGCAUUGCUCAUCCACAUCGGAUCUACUCCACGAGAGAGACCGCGGCCCCUCUUCGGAGAAGAUCCCUUUGGAUUCAAGACCCCUCUUUAGGGAAGAACAUUAAGACCUCCUCACGGAGAAGACCGUUACCCUUGUAUCGUCCUUGGUUGAUUGUGUACCGUAUGAACCCUAUGUAUUCGAGGAUCUAGCACAUGUGUGACUUUCUUGUGUUGGUUUAGUGUUUCUCUUGUGUUUCCCCUGUGUUUUCCCUCUCUUUUCACCUCGUGUUCUUCGUGUUCUUCGCGGGAUUCCGCUCCUAUCGGGAAAGAUCGGGCUAUGGGGUUCCUACCCUACAUCACCCUCCCUUUGUUUGUCUGUGUACGUGUUUUGUUGUGGGCAUCUUUCUGUUUGUGUGUCUGUCCAUCUAAUUAUGUGCAUGUGUCCGAACAAUUGAAAGACAAUUGGAGGAUGAUGUUGCAAUAUUUUCCCAUGCUACAACAAGUAAGUCAAACAUUAGUGGAUUCUAUGCUCUCUAAGCUCGCUUACACCCUUUACUUAAAAAACCAAAAAUCAUAUCCAAAAACUAUAAAUAAUAUUGCAAAAAUAAUUCAUGAAUAUGGUAUGUAGUAUUUAUGAACAUGCAAAUCGUCGUAAAGAAUAUGCUAGUUUGUAUUUUUUACGAAAACAAGCUAUAUUGGGUGACUAUAAAAAAAUUAUGGACUUAAUAUAUUGCUUUUGCACAAGGCUUAGUAAUAUAUGUUUUUCACUGAACUUUAGAAAAAACAGAAGUAAAUGUCUGAUGUUUUCAUGAUUUUUUUAGUAACGUGUGUUUUUUUUUUGAGCCACCACAUGGUCCAUGUGGUAAGCAACCUAAAAACAAACCAAAAAAAGGUGUUGAUUUUGAGCCAAAAGCACACGUUCCCCACUUAACUCGAAGUUAUUGAAAUCAAAUCGGUUAUGUGUUGGUAUCUUUCCUUAAGCACUAUCAAGAUUGGAUUAAACUUUUUGCACAUGGCAAGUCCAAAUUGGUGUUUUUCAUUUUAAUGAUUUUAUUAAUUAAAUUGUUUUAUGCCGUCAAAUCUAACAUUAUUCUUCCAGUGUUUCAAAUAGUAUUUUUCACUGUAACACUAAAAUUGCUAAUUGAUGCAGAAUAAUUUAUCAAAUCAUGUUUUUAAUUUAUUACAUUACUGAUAAUAACAUGAAUACACAUUUUCAAGUAGUUACUCAUUAUGAGUUGUACCUCUAAGAUUGUUAAUUAUGCAAAAUAUGUUUUCCCAUUAUUAAUUGUACCAUUAAAAUCACUAAUUAUGCAAAAUAUGGUUAUCUUAUUAUGAUUUGUACCAUAAACCAAAAUACAUAAAAUAUACUAAACUUGAAAUGGGUUCACUAUUAUUUAUACUAAACGUUUUGCCUUCUCAUAUUUUCUGCGUACGAUCAAAACUACUAUUAGAUUUUCUCAUUAAGCCUAACAAAAUUAACUAGACUACUAUGAAUGUUUCUGAAUAGUACUCCCUGUGUCCCGUAAUAUAAAAUUUGGGUUAUAUGUAACAAAGUUAUACCCAAAUUUAGUUGGUCUAUUUAUAGUGAAAGUUUAAUUUUUAAAUACGUGAUGCCUUAUCGUUGGAAUGGAGGUAGUAGGUUGCUAUGUGACCAUGCAAUCACCUCACAUGCCCAUAGUUAGAGCAUCUACAACCGGAUAUAUAUCAAAUCCGGUACCCUAUACGUCAACAGAUGCGCCCGAACACAUUCACGGACAGUGACCAGUCAAUUCUCAAAUCGUCGCGUCCACAACCGUGUACCUCGUAUCUGGUACCUUAAAUCCGUACUAUACAUGCAAGGUGAAACAAACUAUAUAGAUCAUCAAUGAAACAAAGCGGACACUUAACAUACGUAUAUAAAAACAAACCACACAUUUUUUUUAGAUAAAAGACGAGAUCCCGACUUUAUAGAUAAAACCACCAGGCAGAGUCACAACCACCAGAAGGGAACCACAUAAGUUUAACACAGUACGACUAGAGAGUAUGGGUACAAGGCAUCCAGCCUAUCAUGGCACGCAGGCCAGCCAAACGAGCACUCGAAACACUAAGAAACCGUCCUCCUGGACCGCCGCAGUAGAGAAGAAGCCGUAGAUUUCAUUUUGGAUAACAUAUCGUCGAACGCCUCAAGGUCCCCAUCCUUAGUCAAUGAUCUCCACUGCUGCAAAAAGACAUUAGCUUUAAAUAAGCAACUCACAGGGUUAGUUGGGAAAAUAUGUUCAAUAGUGAACUUGUUUCUAGUAGUCCAAAGCGCCCAACAGAUCGCUGCCCAGCCCACCAUGAAAACCCGCUUAGACCGGCCUGCUAGAGAAUUGAUACAUCGCCGAAGAUCCGCAAAAGAGGAAGGGUUCCAAGGAACAUGAAGCCAAAGUCUAAUGCAACUCCAAAUGAAUUUUGCCAAAGAGCACUGGAAGAAGAUAUGUUCUAUAUCCUCUAGGGCGCCACACAGAUGACAACUAUCAGAAUUCGGCCCAUUCCUCUUUUUAAUCUGGUCAGCCGCAGGAAGUUUGCGACGAAGAGCUUGCCAAAGGAAGAUUUUGAUCUUAGGAGGUAUGCGGGCAGACCAAAUAAGUUUAAACUUUUCAGUGCGAACACCAGCGAUGAGAUGCGAGUACGCCGACUUAACAGAAAACUGCCCCGAAGGGGAGUGGGGCCAAAAAACGGAGUCCUCUUCCUCCGAGAGCAGGGGGAGCAGGCAGUAAGGCGUUGCCAAUCUUCCAACUCCGCAGGGGAAAGAGAGCGCCGGAAAUCUAAAACCCAACCCUGAGCCGAGAGCUCAGAGAUAGAGAUCUCAGGGUUAGCACAAAACGAAAACAAAGUCGGGUAAGCCACCGCAAGAGUAGAGUCCCCAACCCACCAAUCUAACCAAAAACGCGUAGAUUUGCCAUUACGGACAACGAAUUUCACCAGGGAUCGGAAGAUCGGUCUAAUACUAACGAGCUGGCGCCAAAAUUGAGAGCCACCAGAAGAGGAGGCGAACAUAGGGCUCGAGAAGGGAAAAUAUUUAGCUUUGAGAAGGUCAAGCCAAGCAGGACGUUCAUCAAGGGACAUAAUCUUCCACCACCAUUUUAACAAGAGACACUUAUUCAUGAUUCUAGUGUUAAUGAUGCCAAGGCCCCCCUUGUGCUUAGGUUUGCAAAUGAGGUCCCACUUGACCAUCCUAUAUUUGCGUUUGUUAUCGGAGGAAUUCUAGUAAGAGGCACCCCUGUGCUUGUCGAAGCCCGCGUGUGUCCUUUCAGACAGAAGAUAGAAGCCCAUUAGAAACAUCGGAAGAGAGGAAAGGCAGGAGUUGGUAAGGGCGACCUUGCCCGCCUGAGAAUUAUAAUGACCUCGCCACGGCAAAACUCUAUUGCCAACUUUAGUAACAGCCGGGGCAAACUCUUUGGCCAAAAGCUUAAGCGGGGAGAUAGGUAAGCCCAAGUAUUUGAGAGGAAAGGAUCCUAGCGAGCAAUUCAAGAGAUGGGCGACCCUCUGCGCUUCCAGGCAGAUACCCCAGUCACAAUGACCUCGCUUUUAGAAAAAUUGAUUUUAAGGCCCGACAAGGCUUCAAAGCAGAGAAGAAGAAAUUUCAUAUUUGUGAUGGAGUUAUCAUUAAGUUCAACCAAAAUGAUGGUGUCGUCCGCAUACUGAAGGUGAGAGAUGCCAUUAGGAACAAGAUGGGAGCUAACCGGCAAGAUGUGACCAGCAGCCGCAGCCCGAGACAGAAUGUGAGAUAAAGCAUCAGCCGCAAAAUUGAAAAGCAAGGGGGACGCCGGAUCUCCUUGCCUCAGGCCCCUACCGUUGGCAAAGAAAUUACUGGUCUGGCCAUUGACAGCCACCGCCGUGUGCCCACCAGUGACAAGUUGCAUCAGACGGUGGACCACCGCACAAUCGAAGCCCUUGGCCAACAGAACUUGGCGAAGAAAACCCCAGCUGACUGAGUCGUACGCCUUUUCGAAAUCAAGUUUAAGGACCACAGCCUUGGUGUUCUUAUAGUGAAGGUCAUGAAUUAUCUCAUGGAGGCAAAGCACCCCAUCCAGAAUGAAUCUCCCCUUAAUGAACACGGAUUGGAAAGGGCUAAUAAACCGAUGGGCGAUCGGAGACAUUCUAGUAGCCAUCCCCUUGGCAGGAAUCUUAGCAAAAUUGUUAAUCAAAGCAAUGGGUCUAAAUUGGGAGAUCAAGUCAGCGCCUUUAACUUUAGGAAUGAGGGUGAGAACUGCGUAGUUAAGUCUCGCCCCAACCAAAACCCUUGAGAUAUAGCCAUAAUUAGGCCCUUUAGUUGAGGCCAGAAUUGCCAGAAGAAAGGAAUGGAAAAGCCGUCAGGCCUAGAAGCCGCAUUCGGGUUGGCAGAAUGGAUCGUCUCAAAAAUUUCCUCUUCCGUGGGGGGGAUCAGCAAACUCUCAUUGUCAGCGACCGAAAGCUGGUCCAGAGGAGACCAAAAGGGCGAGGCCAAAUUAAAGCCUAGAAAGGGUUUAACAGCUAGGAGGUUAGAGAAAAAAUCAACCACAUGACGCAUAAUCACCGAGGGGUCAGAGACCCUGAUGCCGUCGAUCGUAAGGCCAUCAAUAAUGCAUCUCCGGCGUCUGCCGUUAGCAAUCGCAAAGAAAUAGGACGUAGGAGAGUCACCCUUUAAGGUCUAGUUGAUAGUACCAUGCUGUUUCUAGUACACUUCCUCUUGCCUAUGAAUGCCCAGCAGCGCGUCUUCUAAACCAUACCGAGUUUGCCAUUCAGUCGAGGACAGCCCAGAGCUAUCGGCGCGAUCAUCUAAAAUGCCAGUUUGAGCAACCAACCUAGCUUUGUCACGCCUAGACUCAGCGUAAUGGUUUUUAGACCAGCCUCUAAGGAAUCUACGCAAAAAUAGGAGCAUUGAUGCCAGUCAUACAUGGGGCCAAAAGAGCGUCGAGUAGAGGAGAGGAAAGUCAGAAUCUUUUGAGCCACCAACUCAUUAAAACCUUCCACUUGGAGCCAUGAAGCAUCAAACUGGAAUCUCGGGAAACCAACUGGGCACAAACCAUCAUCUAGAAUCAAGGGGGUGUGAUCAGAGCCAACACAAGCCAGAGCUCUAAGACUGACACUGGGGAAUAGAGAGUCCCACCUAGAACAAACAAAAACCCUAUCAAGAACAGAACGGAUUGAGGGAGUUUGAUGGUUAGACCAGGUGAAACGGGCUCCAACCCUAGGAAUCUCACGAAUAGUCGUGUCCCUAAUAAAAGCAUUAAAAGCAUCAGGCAGGGGCCAGGAGAAGUUAGACGAGCUCUUGUCAGAAGGGAAACGAAGCAAAUUAAAAUCGCCCCCGAUCAGGAGGGAUAGCUGACAGGAUUCAAUUUUAAUACUAAUCUCGUCCAAGAAGGCAUAAGACAUCGCGUGGUCAGCCAGACCAUAGACCACCAUGAUUUCCAACAAGGAAUUGAGGGAUCAAAGGGAAACCACCAUAGUAGCCCAAAAAAUGCCAUGGUUGAAAGUCACAAAGUCAAAAGUAUCUUUUUUGGCACCAAGCAAGAUACCACCGGAGAGCCCAGCCGAGGCCACAUAAUUCCAAUGAAAUCUGUCUAUCCCAGCAAUGGCCGAUAAGUCACUCGAGGAAAAGGAAGAUUUGAUGGUCUCAACAAGGCCAAUAAAGUCUACGUUUUCAGAUCGGACCAGGUCUUUAAGUUGGUCCCUGCGCCCCCUAGCGCCGAAACCACGAAUAUUCCAAAUUAAGGACUUCAUCUAAAAGAUAGGUUUUUGAUACGGAGACUUGACCUGCUCGGCGUCAUGCAGGAUUUAGCACGCUUCCUUGCCACGCGAGUAGAAGACACCGGGGGAGCUUGACACCUGUCAUCUCCCCCCUCGUCCCCACCGGCCACAACAGGUGGGGCGGCCGAACCCACCCGAGCCUCCUUGACCUUCGCAAUAUCAUCCUGGGCUACCUCAUUUGCCCUAAUAACACCAAGAAUCGACGAAGGGGAACCCAUGCUAGAACCUAAGCAAAUACCAACAUCAUCUAGAAUUUUGAGCAAGUGAUCAUCAGAUUGUGAAGGAAGAACUAAAUGCACAGGGGAGACAACCGUGGGGAGGGAGGGGGAAGGGGCUGGGGACGAACCUGAAGGGGGCAGAUCCCGAGCCGCAACACGCCGAGCCGCCCGAUCGACCACCCGCUCACCGCAGUUGGAGACGCGGCCGCUCUUGCGGGCCGUGGACGCUGGCGAGUGCACAGGCAUGGGACGAGCACGACUGGGGGAAGCCGCAGCAGAGGACGGACCCGAAGCCGCACCCAUAUCAGCAUCAAGCCUACGGCAGAGCCCAGCCGCGGACUGCCUCGAGUCACCUGAAGCAUGGCUCUUUGUGGAAUAUUUCUUGACACAGGACUUCUUCUUCACCUUGGACACAGCACGGCCAGCCGGGGGUAGGUCUUCAAUGCCAGACAAGGAGGGAGAAGCGGGACAGGCAGGGAGGUUGGAGCACAUAGCCGAGAAAGGUGUGCCCUUAGCCCCACCCGAAGCCGCAUCCCCUCCGCCCAAGCCAGGAGCCGCAUCCUGGGGCCCUCGACUAGCCGGCGCAUUCUCCUUUAGUAAAUCUUGAUCUUCAGGAGAAAGCCCAUCCCACUCCGACUGAGUGAACCGAGGAUCAGUCCCAUGCAUGGAGUCUUCAGGGCAUCCAUCCCCAUCUUUGCUUUUAUCACCAUUGCCAGAGCUCUAAGACUGACACUGGGGAAUAGAGAGUCCCACCUAGAACAAACAAAAACCCUAUCAAGAACAGAACGGAUUGAGGGAGUUUGAUGGUUAGACCAGGUGAAACGGGCUCCAACCCUAGGAAUCUCACGAAUAGUCGUGUCCCUAAUAAAAGCAUUAAAAGCAUCAGCCAGGGGCCAGGAGAAGUUAGACGAGCUCUUGUCAGAAGGGAAACGAAGCAAAUUAAAAUUGCCCCCGAUCAGGAGGGAUAGCUGACAGGAUUCAAUUUUAAUACUAAUCUCGUCCAAGAAGGCAUAAGACAUCGCGUGGUCAGCCGGACCAUAGACCACCAUGAUUUCCAACAAGGAAUUGAGGGAUCGAAGGGAAACCACCAUACUAGCCCAAAAAAUGCCAUGGUUGAAAGUCACAAAGUCAAAAGUAUCUUUUUUGGCACCAAGCAAGAUACCACCGGAGAGCCCAGCCGAGGCCACAUAAUUCCAAUGAAAUCUGUCUAUCCCAGCAAUGGCCGAUAAGUCACUAGAGGAAAAGGAAGAUUUCAUAGUCUCAACAAGGCCAAUAAAGUCUACGUUUUCAGAUCGGACCAGGUCUUUAAGUUGGUCCCUGCGCCUCCUAGCGCCGAAACCACGAAUAUUCCAAAUUAAGGACUUCAUCUAAAAGAUAGGUUUUUGAUACGGAGACUUGACCUGCUCGGCGUCAUGCAGGAUUUAGCACGCUUCCUUGCCAUGCGAGUAGAAGACACCGGGGGAGCUUGACACCUGUCAUCUCCCCCCUCGUCCCCAUCGGCCACAACAGGUGGGGCGGCCGAACCCACCCGAGCCUCCUUGACCUUCACAAAUCAGCCUGGGCUACCUCAUUUGCCCUAAUAACACCAAGAAUCGACGAAGGGGAACCCAUGCUAGAACCUAAGCAAAUACCAACAUCAUCUAGAAUUUUGAGCAAGUGAUCAUCAGAUUGUGAAGGAAGAACUAAAUGCACAGGGGAGACAACCGUGGGGAGGGAGGGGGAAGGGGCUGGGGACGAACCUGAAGGGGGCAGAUCCCGAGCCGCAGCAUGCCGAGCCGCCCGAUCGACCACCCGCUCACCGCAGUUGGAGACGCGGCCGCUCUUGCGGGCCGUGGACGCUGGCGAGUGCACAGGCAUGGGACGAGCACGACUGGGGGAAGCCGCAGCAGAGGACGGACCCGAAGCCGCACCCAUAUCAGCAUCAAGCCUACGGCAGAGCCCAGCCGCGGACUGCCUCGAGUCACCUGAAGCAUGGCUCUUUUUGGAAUAUUUCUUGACACAGGACUUCUUCUUCACCUUGGACACAGCACGGCCAUCCGGGGGUAGGUCUUCAAUGCCAGACAAGGAGGGAGAAGCAGGACAGGCAGGGAGGUUGGAGCACAUAGCCGAGAAAGGUGUGCCCUUAGCCCCACCCGAAGCCGCAUCCCCUCCGCCCAAGCCAGGAGCCGCAUCCUGGGGCCCUCGACCAGCCGACGCAUUCUCCUUUAGUAAAUCUUGAUCUUCAGGAGAAAGCCCAUCCCACUCCGACUGAGUGAACCGAGGAUCAGUCCCAUGCAUGGAGUCUUCAGGGCAUCCAUCCCCAUCUUUGCUUUUAUCACCAUUGCCAGAGCUCUAAGACUGACACUGGGGAAUAGAGAGUCCCACCUAGAACAAACAAAAACCCUAUCAAGAACAGAACGGAUUGAGGGAGUUUGAUGGUUAGACCAGGUGAAACGGGCUCCAACCCUAGGAAUCUCACGAAUAGUCGUGUCCCUAAUAAAAGCAUUAAAAGCAUCAGCCAGGGGCCAGGAGAAGUUAGACGAGCUCUUGUCAGAAGGGAAACGAAGCAAAUUAAAAUCGCCCCCGAUCAGGAGGGAUAGCUGACAGGAUUCAAUUUUAAUACUAAUCUCGUCCAAGAAGGCAUAAGACAUCGCGUGGUCAGCCGGACCAUAGACCACCAUGAUUUCCAACAAGGAAUUGAGGGAUCGAAGGGAAACCACCAUACUAGCCCAAAAAAUGCCAUGGUUGAAAGUCACAAAGUCAAAAGUAUCUUUUUUGGCACCAAGCAAGAUACCACCGGAGAGCCCAGCCGAGGCCACAUAAUUCCAAUGAAAUCUGUCUAUCCCAGCAAUGGCCGAUAAGUCACUCGAGGAAAAGGAAGAUUUCAUAGUCUCAACAAGGCCAAUAAAGUCUACGUUUUCAGAUCGGACCAGGUCUUUAAGUUGGUCCCUGCGCCCCCUAGCGUCGAAACCACGAAUAUUCCAAAUUAAGGCCUUCAUCUAAAAGAUAGGUUUUGAUACGGAGACUUGACCUGCUCGGCGCCAUGCAGGAUUUAGCACGCUUCCUUGCCACGCGAGUAGAAGACACCGGGGGAGCUUGACACCUGUCAUCUCCCCCCUCGUCCCCACCGGCCACAACAGGUGGGGCGGCCGAACCCACCCGAGCCUCCUUGGCCUUCGCAAUAUCAGCCUGGGCUACCUCAUUUGCCCUAAUAACACCAAGAAUCGACGAAGGGGAACCCAUGCUAGAACCUAAGCAAAUACCAACAUCAUCUAGAAUUUUGAGCAAGUGAUCAUCAGAUUGUGAAGGAAGAACUAAAUGCAUAGGGGAGACAACCGUGGGGAGGGAGGGGGAAGGGGCUGGGGACGAACCUUAAGGGGGCAGAUCCCGAGCCGCAGCACGCCGAGCCGCCCGAUCGACCACCCGCUCACCGCAGUUGGAGACGCGGCCGCUCUUGCGGGCCGUGGACACUGGCGAGCGCACAGGCAUGGGACGAGCACGAUUGGGGGAAGCCGCAGCAGAGGACGGACCCGGAGCCGCACCCAUAUCAGCAUCAAGCCUACGGCAGAGCCCAGCCGCGGACUGCCUCGAGUCACCUGAAGCAUGGCUCUUUGCGGAAUAUUUCUUGACAGUGGACUUCUUCUUCACCUUGGACACAGCACGGCCAGCCGGGGGUAGGUCUUCAAUGCCAGACAAGGAGGGAGAAGCGGGACAGGCAGGGAGGUUGGAGCACACAGCCGAGAAAGGUGUGCCCUUAGCCCCACCCGAAGCCGCAUCCCCUCCGCCCAAGCCAGGAGCCGCAUCCUGGGGCCCCCGACCAGCCGGCGCAUUCUCCUUUAGUAAAUCUUGAUCUUCAAGAGAAAGCCCAUCCCACUCCGACUGAGUGAACCGAGGAUCAGUCCCAUGCAUGGAGUCUUCAGGGCAUCCAUCCCCAUCUUUGCUUUUAUCACCAUUGCCAGAGCUCUAAGACUGACACUGGGGAAUAGAGAGUCCCACCUAGAACAAACAAAAACCCUAUCAAGAACAGAACGGAUUGAGGGAGUUUGAUGGUUAGACCAGGUGAAACGGGCUCCAACCCUAGGAAUCUCACGAAUAGUCAUGUCCCUAAUAAAAGCAUUAAAAGCAUCAGCCAGGGGCCAGGAGAAGUAAGAUGAGCUCUUGUCAGAAGGGAAACGAAGCAAAUUAAAAUCGCCCCCGAUCAGGAGGGAUAGCUGACAGGAUUCAAUUUUAAUACUAAUCUCGUCCAAGAAGGCAUAAGACAUCGCGUGGUCAGCCGGACCAUAGACCACCAUGAUUUCCAACAAGGAAUUGAGGGAUCGAAGGGAAACCACCAUACUAGCCAAAAAAAUGCCAUGGUUGAAAGUCACAAAGUCUAAAGUAUCUUUUUUGGCACCAAGCAAGAUACCACCGGAGAGCCCAGCCGAGGCCACAUAAUUCCAAUGAAAUAUGUCUAUCCCAGCAAUGGCCGAUAAGUCACUCGAGGAAAAGGAAGAUUUGAUAGUCUCAACAAGGCCAAUAAAGUCUACGUUUUCAGAUCGGACCAGGUCUUUAAGUUGGUCCCUGCGCCCCCUAGCGUUGAAACCACGAAUAUUCCAAAUUAAGGCCUUCAUCUAAAAGAUAGGUUUUUGAUACGGAGACUUGACCUGCUCGGCGCCAUGCAGGAUUUAGCACGCUUCCUUGCCACGCGAGUAGAAGACACCGGGGGAGCUUGACACCUGUCAUCUCCCCCCUCGUCCCCACCGGCCACAACAGGUGGGGCGGCCGAACCCACCCGAGCCUCCUUGGCCUUCGCAAUAUCAGCCUGGGCUACCUCAUUUGCCCUAAUAACACCAAGAAUCGACGAAGGGGAACCCAUGCUAGAACCUAAGCAAAUACCAACAUCAUCUAGAAUUUUGAGCAAGUGAUCAUCAGAUUGUGAAGGAAGAACUAAAUGCACAGGGGAGACAACCGUGGGGAGGGAGGGGGAAGGGGCUGGGGACGAACCUGAAGGGGGCAGAUCCCGAGCCGCAGCACGCCGAGCCGCCCGAUCGACCACCCGCUCACCGCAGUUGGAGACGCGGCCGCUCUUGUGGGCCGUGGACACUGGCGAGCGCACAGGCAUGGGACGAGCACGACUGGGGGAAGCCGCAGCAGAGGACGGACCCGAAGCCGCACCCAUAUCAGCAUCAAGCCUACGGCAGAGCCCAGCCGCGGACUGCCUCGAGUCACCUGAAGCAUGGCUCUUUGCGGAAUAUUUCUUGACACAGGACUUCUUCUUCACCUUGGACACAGCACGGCCAGCCGGGGGUAGGUCUUUAAUGCCAGACAAGGAGGGAGAAGCGGGACAGGCAGGGAGGUUGGAGCACACAGUCGAGAAAGGUGUGCCCUUAGCCCCACCCGAAGCCGCAUCCCCUCCGCCCAAGCCAGGAGCCGCAUCCUAGGGCCCUCGACCAGCCGGCGCAUUCUCCUUUAGUAAAUCUUGAUCUUCAGGAGAAAGCCCAUCCCACUCCGACUGAGUGAACCGAGGAUCAGUCCCAUGCAUGGAGUCUUCAGGGCAUCCAUCCCCAUCUUUGCUUUUAUCACCAUUGCCAGAGCUCUAAGACUGACACUGGGGAAUAGAGAGUCCCACCUAGAACAAACAAAAACCCUAUCAAGAACAGAACGGAUUGAGGGAGUUUGAUGGUUAGACCAGGUGAAACGGGCUCCAACCCUAGGAAUCUCACGAAUAGUCGUGUCCCUAAUAAAAGCAUUAAAAGCAUCAGCCAAGGGCCAGGAGAAGUUAGACGAGCUCUUGUCAGAAGGGAAACGAAGCAAAUUAAAAUAGCCCCCGAUCAGGAGGGAUAGCUGACAUGAUUCAAUUUUAAUACUAAUCUCGUCCAAGAAGGCAUAAGACAUCGCGUGGUCAGCCGGACCAUAGACCACCAUGAUUUCCAACAAGGAAUUGAGGGAUCGAAGGGAAACCACCAUACUAGCCCAAAAAAUGCCAUGGUUGAAAGUCACAAAGUCCAAAGUAUAUUUUUUGGCACCAAGCAAGAUACCACCGGAGAGCCCAGCCGAGGCCACAUAAUUCCAAUGAAAUCUGUCUAUCCCAGCAAUGGCCGAUAAGUCACUCGAGGAAAAGGAAGAUUUGAUAGUCUCAACAAGGCCAAUAAAGUCUACGUUUUCAGAUCGGACCAGGUCUUUAAGUUGGUCCCUGCGCCCCCUAGCGUCGAAACCACGAAUAUUCCAAAUUAAGGCCUUCAUCUAAAAGAUAUGUUUUUGAUACGGAGACUUCACCUGCUCGGCGCCAUGCAGGAUUUAGCACGCUUCCUUGCCACGCGAGUAGAAGACACCGGGGGAGCUUGACACCUGUCAUCUCCCCCCUCGUCCCCACCGGCCACAACAGGUGGGGCGGCCGAACCCACCCGAGCCUCCUUGGCCUUCGCAAUAUCAGCCUGGGCUACCUCAUUUGGCCUAAUAACACCAAGAAUCGACGAAGGGGAACCCAUGCUAGAACCUAAGCAAAUACCAACAUCAUCUAGAAUUUUGAGCAAGUGAUCAUCAGAUUGUGAAGGAAGAACUAAAUGCACAGGGGAGACAACCGUGGGGAGGGAGGGGGAAGGGGCUGGGGACGAACCUGAAGGGGGCAGAUCCCGAGCCGCAGCACGCCGAGCCGCCCGAUCGACCACCCGCUCACCGCAGUUGGAGACGCGGCCGCUCUUGUGGGCCGUGGACACUGGCGAGCGCACAGGCAUGGGACGAGCACGACUGGGGGAAGCCGCAGCAGAGGACGGACCCGAAGCCGCACCCAUAUCAGCAUCAAGCUUACGGCAGAGCCCAGCCGCGGACUGCCUCGAGUCACCUGAAGCAUGGCUCUUUGCGGAAUAUUUCUUGACACAGGACUUCUUCUUCACCUUGGACACAGCACGGCCAGCCGGGGGUAGGUCUUCAAUGCCAGACAAGGAGGGAGAAGCGGGACAGGCAGGGAGGUUGGAGCACACAGCCGAGAAAGGUGUGCCCUUAGCCCCACCCGAAGCCGCAUCCCCUCCGCCCAAGCCAGGAGCCGCAUCCUAGGGCCCUCGACCAGCCGGCGCAUUCUCCUUUAGUAAAUCUUGAUCUUCAGGAGAAAGCCCAUCCCACUCCGACUGAGUGAACCAAGGAUCAGUCCCAUGCAUGGAGUCUUCAGGGCAUCCAUCCCCAUCUUUGCUUUUAUCACCAUUGCCAGAGCUCUAAGACUGACACUGGGGAAUAGAGAGUCCCACCUAGAACAAACAAAAACCCUAUCAAGAACAGAAUGGAUUGAGGGAGUUUGAUGGUUAGACCAGGUGAAACGGGCUCCAACCCCAGGAAUCUCAUGAAUAGUCGUGUCCCUAAUAAAAGCAUUAAAAGCAUCAGCCAGGGGCCAGGAGAAGUUAGACGAGCUCUUGUCAGAAGGGAAACGAAGCAAAUUAAAAUCGCCCCCGAUCAGGAGGGAUAGCUGACAGGAUUCAAUUUUAAUACUAAUCUCGUCCAAGAAGGCAUAAGACAUCGCGUGGUCAUCCGGACCAUAGACCACCAUGAUUUCCAACAAGGAAUUGAGGGAUCGAAGGGAAACCACCAUACUAGCCCAAAAAAUGCCAUGGUUGAAAGUCACAAAGUCAAAAGUAUCUUUUUUGGCACCAAGCAAGAUACCACCGGAGAGCCCAGCCGAGGCCACAUAAUUCCAAUGAAAUCUGUCUAUCCCAGCAAUGGCCGAUAAGUCACUCGAGGAAAAGGAAGAUUUGAUAGUCUCAACAAGGCCAAUAAAGUCUACGUUUUCAGAUCGGACCAGGUCUUUAAGUUGGUCCCUGCGCCCCCUAGCGUCGAAACCACGAAUAUUCCAAAUUAAGGCCUUCAUCUAAAAGAUAGGUUUUUGAUACGGAGACUUGACCUGCUCGGUGCCAUGCAGGAUUUAGCACGCUUCCUUGCCACGCGAGUAGAAGACACCGGGGGAGCUUGACACCUGUCAUCUCCCCCCUCGUACCCACCGGCCACAACAGGUGGGGCGGCCGAACCCACCCGAGCCUCCUUGGCCUUCGCAAUAUCAGUCUGGGCUACCUCAUUUGCCCUAAUAACACCAAGAAUCGACGAAGGGGAACCCAUGCUAGAACCUAAGCAAAUACCAACAUCAUCUAGAAUUUUGAGCAAGUGAUCAUCAGAUUGUGAAGGAAGAACUAAAUGCACAGGGGAGACAACCGUGGGGAGGGAGGGGGAAGGGGCUGGGGACGAACCUGAAGGGGGCAGAUCCCGAGCCGCAGCACGCCGAGCCGCCCGAUCGACCACCCGCUCACCGCAGUUGGAGACGCGGCCGCUCUUUGGGCCGUGGACACUGGCGAGCGCACAGGCAUGGGACGAGCACGACUGGGGGAAGCCGCAGCAGAGGACGGACCCGAAGCCGCACCCAUAUCAGCAUCAAGCCUACGGCAGAGCCCAGCCGCGGACUGCCUCAAGUCACCUGAAGCAUGGCUCUUUGCGGAAUAUUUCUUGACACAGGACUUCUUCUUCACCUUGGACACAGCACGGCCAGCCGGGGGUAGAUCUUCAAUGCCAGACAAGGAGGGAGAAGCGGGACAGGCAGGGAGGUUGGAGCACACAGUCGAGAAAGGUGUGCCCUUAGCCCCACCCGAAGCCGCAUCCCCUCCGCCCAAGCCAGGAGCCGCAUCCUGGGGCCCUCGACCAGCCGGCGCAUUCUCCUUUAGUAAAUCUUGAUCUUCAGGAGAAAGCCCAUCCCACUCCGACUGAGUGAACCGAGGAUCAGUCCCAUGCAUGGAGUCUUCAGGGCAUCCAUCCCCAUCUUUGCUUUUAUCACCAUUGCCAGAGCUCUAAGACUGACACUGGGGAAUAGAGAGUCCCACCUAGAACAAACAAAAACCCUAUCAAGAACAGAACGGAUUGAGGGAGUUUGAUGGUUAGACCAGGUGAAACGGGCUCCAACCCUAGGAAUCUCACGAAUAGUCGUGUCCCUAAUAAAAGCAUUAAAAGCAUCAGCCAGGGGCCAGGAGAAGUUAGACGAGCUCUUGUCAGAAGGGAAACGAAGCAAAUUAAAAUCGCCCCCGAUCAGGAGGGAUAGCUGACAGGAUUCAAUUUUAAUACUAAUCUCGUCCAAGAAGGCAUAAGACAUCGCGUGGUCAGCCGGACCAUAGACCACCAUGAUUUCCAACAAGGAAUUGAGGGAUCGAAGGGAAACCACCAUACUAGCCCAAAAAAUGCCAUGGUUGAAAGUCACAAAGUCUAAAGUAUCUUUUUUGGCACCAAGCAAGAUACCACCGGAGAGCCCAGCUGAGGCCACAUAAUUCCAAUGAAAUCUGUCUAUCCCAGCAAUGGCCGAUAAGUCACUCGAGGAAAAGGAAGAUUUGAUAGUCUCAACAAGGCCAAUAAAGUCUACGUUUUCAGAUCGGACCAGGUCUUUAAGUUGGUCCCUGCGCCCCCUAGCGUCGAAACCACGAAUAUUCCAAAUUAAGGCCUUCAUCUAAAAGAUAGGUUUUUGAUACGGAGACUUGACCUGCUCGGCGCCAUGCAGGAUUUCGCAUGCUUCCUUGACACGCGAGUAGAAGACACCGGGGGAGCUUGACACCUGUCAGCUCCCCCCUCGUCCCCACCGGCCACAACAGGUGGGGCGGCCGAACCCACCCGAGCCUCCUUGGCCUUCGCAAUAUCAGCCUGGGCUACCUCAUUUGCCCUAAUAACACCAAGAAUCGACGAAGGGGAACCCAUGCUAGAACCUAAGCAAAUACCAACAUCAUCUAGAAUUUUGAGCAAGUGAUCAUCAGAUUGUGAAGGAAGAACUAAAUGCACAGGGGAGACAACCGUGGGGAGGGAGGGGGAAGGGGCUGGGGACGAACCUGAAGGGGGCAGCUCCCGAGCCGCAGCACGCCGAGCCGCCCGAUCGACCACCCGCUCACCGCAGUUGGAGACGCGGCCGCUCUUGUGGGCCGUGGACACUGGCGAGCGCACAGGCAUGGGACGAGCACGACUGGGGGAAGCCGCAGCAGAGGACGGACCCGAAGCCGCACCCAUAUCAGCAUCAAGCCUACGGCAGAGCCCAGCCGCGGACUGCCUCGAGUCACCUGAAGCAUGGCUCUUUGCGGAAUAUUUCUUGACACAGGACUUCUUCUUCACCUUGGACACAGCACGGCCAGCCGGGGGUAGGUCUUCAAUGCCAGACGAGGAGGGAGAAGCGGGACAGGCAGGGAGGUUGGAGCACACAGCCGAGAAAGGUGUGCCCUUAGCCCCACCCGAAGCCGCAUCCCCUCCGCCCAUGCCAGGAGCCGCAUCCUGGGGCCCUCGACCAGCCGGCGCAUUCUCCUUUAGUAAAUCUUGAUCUUCAGGAGAAAGCCCAUCCCACUCCGACUGAGUGAACCCAGGAUCAGUCCCAUGCAUGGAGUCUUCAGGGCAUCCAUCCCCAUCUUUGCUUUUAUCACCAUUGCCAGAGCUCUAAGACUGACACUGGGGAAUAGAGAGUCCCACCUAGAACAAACAAAAACCCUAUCAAGAACAGAACGGAUUGAGGGAGUUUGAUGGUUAGACCUGGUGAAACGGGCUCCAACCCUAGGAAUCUCACGAAUAGUCGUGUCCCUAAUAAAAGCAUUAAAAGCAUCAGCCAGGGGCCAGGAGAAGUUAGACGAGCUCUUGUCAGAAGGGAAACGAAGCAAAUUAAAAUCGCCCCCGAUCAGGAGGGAUAGCUGACAGGAUUCAAUUUUAAUACUAAUCUCGUCCAAGAAGGCAUAAGACAUCGCGUGGUCAGCCGGACCAUAGACCACCAUGAUUUCCAACAAGGAAUUGAGGGAUCGAAGGGAAACCACCAUACUAGCCCAAAAAAUGCCAUGGUUGAAAGUCACAAAGUCAAAAGUAUCUUUUUUGGCACCAAGCAAGAUACCACCGGAGAGCCCAGCCGAGGCCACAUAAUUCCAAUGAAAUCUGUCUAUCCCAGCAAUGGCCGAUAAGUCACUCGAGGAAAAGGAGAUACCACCGGAGAGCCCAGCCGAGGCCACAUAAUUCCAAUGAAAUCUGUCUAUCCCAGCAAUGGCCGAUAAGUCACUCGAGGAAAAGGAAGAUUUGAUAGUCUCAACAAGGCCAAUAAAGUCUACGUUUUCAGAUCGGACCAGGUCUUUAAGUUGGUCCCUGCGCCCCCUAGCGUCAAAACCACGAAUAUUCCAAAUUAAGGCCUUCAUCUAAAAGAUAGGUUUUUGAUACGGAGACUUGACCUGCUCGGCGCCAUGCAGGAUUUAGCACGCUUCCUUGCCACGCGAGUAGAAGACACCGGGGGAGCUUGACACCUGUCAUCUCCCCCCUCGUCCCCACCGGCCACAACAGGUGGGGCGGCCGAACCCACCCGAGCCUCCUUGGCCUUCGCAAUAUCAGCCUGGGCUACCUCAUUUGCCCUAAUAACACCAAGAAUCGACGAAGGCGAACCCAUGCUAGAACCUAAGCAAAUACCAACAUCAUCUAGAAUUUUGAGCAAGUGAUCAUCAGAUUGUGAAGGAAGAACUAAAUGCACAGGGGAGACAACCGUGGGGAGGGAGGGGGAAGGGGCUGGGGACGAACCUGAAGGGGGCAGAUCCCGAGCCGCAGCACGCCGAGCCGCCCGAUCGACCACCCGCUCACCGCAGUUGGAGAUGCGGCCGCUCUUGCGGGCCGUGGACACUGGCGAGCGCACAGGCAUGGGACGAGCACGACUGGGGGAAGCCGCAGCAGAGGACGGACCCGAAGCCGCACCCAUAUCAGCAUCAAGCCUACGGCAGAGCCCAGCCGCGGACUGCCUUGAGUCACCUGAAGCAUGGCUCUUUGCGGAAUAUUUCUUGACAGAGGACUUCUUCUUCACCUUGGACACAGCACGGCCAGCCGGGGGUAGGUCUUCAAUGCCAGACAAGGAGGGAGAAGCGGGACAGGCAGGGAGGUUGGAGCACACAGCCGAGAAAGGUGUGCCCUUAGCCCCACCCGAAGCCGCAUCCCCUCCGCCCAAGCCAGGAGCCGCAUCCUGGGGCCCCCGACCAGCCGGCGCAUUCUCCUUUAGUAAAUCUUGAUCUUCAGGAGAAAGCCCAUCCCACUCCGACUGAGUGAACCNNNNNNNNNNNNNNNNNNNNNNNNNNNNNNNNNNNNNNNNNNNNNNNNNNNNNNNNNNNNNNNNNNNNNNNNNNNNNNNNNNNNNNNNNNNNNNNNNNNNNNNNNNNNNNNNNNNNNNNNNNNNNNNNNNNNNNNNNNNNNNNNNNNNNNNNNNNNNNNNNNNNNNNNNNNNNNNNNNNNNNNNNNNNNNNNNNNNNNNNNNNNNNNNNNNNNNNNNNNNNNNNNNNNNNNNNNNNNNNNNNNNNNNNNNNNNNNNNNNNNNNNNNNNNNNNNNNNNNNNNNNNNNNNNNNNNNNNNNNNNNNNNNNNNNNNNNNNNNNNNNNNNNNNNNNNNNNNNNNNNNNNNNNNNNNNNNNNNNNNNNNNNNNNNNNNNNNNNNNNNNNNNNNNNNNNNNNNNNNNNNNNNNNNNNNNNNNNNNNNNNGAGCCGCGAAUGCACAUGGGAUCAACACACCAGACCCGAAGCCGGGCCGACCCCAGAAUGGCCAGAGAUGCUUGAUCCACUUCGAUAGGUUUCCCGCUGAGCACCCCGAAAGCCAUGAGGAACGCUGUGGUGCGCAUGCUAGGAGGGACAUCUUCGACCAGAACCCACACAUCAGACAGAGCAGAAAUCGCCUUAGACCCGUUGGACGCGGCUUUGACCGAGACUACAAGUUGAUUCAGAGGCAGCGUGAAGCUAGUGCAAGAGGAGAUCAUACGGAGGCUCUCUUUGGAGGGAAAAGUCGCAGCAAAAUCAAACUCAGAAAGUUGGCGAAUUUGCCAAUCCGAACCGCCCUCAUCCCAUAACUGAAGUUCAUCCAGAAGGGUCUGGGAAGAAAUGCGUUUAGCCUGAACAGAAAUAAUGCCGACAUUGGAAAGCGAUGGAAUAGGGGCUGCCUCUGGGAUCCCCUUGUCUAAAGCAAAGAAAGAACACCCUGGGAGGUCGGUGCCAUAAUGGACGAAAGCGGGGGGCUUGACACGAUUCUGGCAAUCCACCGUGAGAUGGCCAUCUUCUCUGCAGAUGAGACAGAAGGGGGGGUUUCACAACAUGAUUGGAAAUGCCAUGGGCGGUGACAGGCGAAGCAGGUGAGGAUGGGGUUGGAGACUUGAGAUUGGGGAGGGUUGCAACCAGAUCGACGAGGGGGAGGAGGGAGGAUGCCAUCACCAGACGGAACAGGACUAGAGCCAGCCCCCCCGCCCGGCAGCAGGGCCAACAGGGCGGCGGACCGGGGCCCCCGACGCCCCACGGGGGACGAAGCGAGACGGGCCACCCCCAGCCACCACCGGAGCCCGCAAUGGCGCACCGCCCCAGAGAGCAGCGCCCAGUGGGGGGACGCCUGGGAAGGCCCCGACGAGCCCGCCCGACUGGCCGCCGCUGCCAGCUCCCAGGGAUCGACCGCGGCCGACGGGGCACCAGACGCGGGGGGGGAGAGGCGCAGAUGGGCCCGACCCAGAGGCGCGGGGAGACACCCCAGCCGAAGCCGUCGCCGACCCCGCCACCGGGGCGAGGGAGGCUUGAAGCUUAGCACGGAGCGCCGCCUCGUACUCCAGAUCUGCGGCCGCAUCGCCGGAGCCAUCGCGCCCGCGCUUCUGGCCGGAGACCGCCUCACUGGAGGAAGCACGGGAGUGGUCCAUCGCAGCCACCGCUGCAAAUGAGAGGGAGAGGGGAGGGGGAGGAGGAGAUCUGGCAAAGCGCCGAAUGGGGAGACGGUGACGAGAUAGAUCUGAGGAGGAGGCCAGAAACCCUAGAAAAGGGGGAACCACACCCCUCCGCACCCAUAAAUACCCCGACCGAGCCAGACCUGGCUCGAUAAAAGGCCUCACAGGAAGGGUGGGCUGGACCUGGGCCACCCGCGACCCAGAGCCCAAAGAAGGGAGGAGGGAAAUCAGACAGAGAAGCCAAGGCUAACACCGAAACGGGCCCAGCAGGCCCAGCAACACUAGGCGGGGCCCGCUCCGCAGGCGGGGGAACCAGGGCCGCCCCGGAAACAAGAUUUAGGGUUGGCACCAACUCCGACGCCGCCGGCACGACGGACACCGCAGGGGAGGCGGAGCAGGCACGAGGACCUGCCGGAGAGCCAGACGCCAAAGGCGGCGAAGCCCCAGGCAACCCAACGGAGCCCAACAGGCCCGCAGCAGGGGACCAACACGACGCACGCCGGCGACCCCGCGAAAUGCGACGCCACCCAUCCACCUCCAAGGCGGGCCCAACGGGGCGCCCCCGCCCCCCGGGCGCGAACUUGCGCCGGCGACCCGCCGUCGCAUCCACAGAAGGACAACACAACGAGACAGGGCGGGGAGGAGAAGAAGGAGCCUCAGAAUCCGACCCGAAGCCAUCGAGAUCCAGCGCCCAAAACUUAUUGGCCCGGAGAGGAGAGAUGCGGCCACGGCGAGGAGGGGAGGACAGAACGCGGAUGGGGGCGGCACGAGACGCCGGAGCGGAGCCCGGGAGGGACAGCGGAGGGGUGGGAGGUGGAGACGCAAGGUGCAGGGACGCCGCCGGGGAAGAGCCCGACGCAGGUGUCGCCACAUGGGGGGAGGGGGGAGGGGAGAGGAGGGCCAUCCAGGCACCGAGUAUCUUGCACGUGCUUUUAUUUUAAAAAAAAGAACAAAAAAAAAAACACAAACCACACAUCACAGUUAUCCGAAGCAAAAUACAGAGUUUACAUAUCACAGUUCAGCCGAUGCAUAGACAUGUAAACUAAAAGUACGAACAAUGCAUAUAGAGACGGACAAUAGUGAGCAUAUUCACCACUUUCACGCCGGUCCUUUGCCGUUACGGUCACCGGAGUGGUUGUAACCCUCCGUGUACAUCGACGGCGGAAGGAGGGCGUCUGAGCCGUCAGAGUCAUCAACGAGGAGUCGAUGAAGCCAGUCAUCCUCCGGACGGUGCGGUUCUGCUACUUCGCGACCUUCAUAGCUUCCGCUGCCGUCGCCGCCUUCUCCGCCACUUCGCGCUCCGAUUGCUCGAUACUGAGCGGGGGCGGCUUCACAUGCUUCCGAUGGAGCUGAUGGGCGUCCGUCGCCGUCGUUGUCAACGAGCGCCGGAAAAUAGCCAUGAGGAGCUUCUCCUCCACUUCGAGCUCCGGCAAUCCGUGUGGCGGCCGGAGGAAGACACAGCCGCCCCUGCCGCAAGCGCCCUCUCCGUAGCACGCUGCCUCUCGUGUUUGGUGGUUGAGUCAAGAAAAAGUGACCAGUCUGGUCAGUACAGUGAGCCCCGCUCUAGAUGCUCUUAGGUACCUACGCUACCAAUCUCACGGCGACAAGGAUUGGUGCCUGCUGGUAGCCUUGCCUGCCUCCGUCCAGACGAGGCGACCAUGCAUGCACACACCCACGCACGAUCGAUGGCGACGCGGCUGUUUUGACACCACCAGCACGCACUGGCGUCUGGCAACGCGCGGUCAUAUCAGACGGGUGCAUAGGGCCUAGUAUCGAUAUCGGGAGAGGCAGCUAGCAGAGACAUUCACGCCCGUACGUAGGGGUUGCUUUGGCAUGGCUGCGGCACCACCAACGCAACGCAUGCAUGCUAUUGCUGCGUGCUGCGUCCUGCAUGCAAAACCCGUAUACCGUGCUGAGAUUCCCGUGCCCUGUCUCAGUGUGCACGCGACGGCGUACGUACGCGAAUCUUGCGCGGGCAGCUGCUGCAUGUUUCUAUGCCAGCAGUAGAAAGUGAAGGAGGCUUUUGGCUGGCAGUGGCACGUCUACGUACCUCGCUUUUCGUCUUCCUUGGUGCGCUCUCGGAAGGUGGAAAGGCCCAGAGGAUGACGCCGAUGCAUGUAAGCUUUUCUACAAUCAAGCACGCUGCUUGUUGCAAAGAAAGCCAGGACAGUCUUAUUUAUUUUCGAGAAAGAUGUAUAUCGGAGCUGCCUCCUCCUCGGAACCCGCGUGGAACUCUUUGCUCCAAAUAGAUUUCAUAGGAUUUUUCUCUACAGAGUUUGUUUGGUUUGUAGGGUUAGAAAUUACACGAGUUUUACUGUAAUGCGCUUUGCUUGCAACCUUAAAGUUUUCCUUAUUUAAGGUAAAGGGAUUUUUUACAUUGAGUUCAACCUCUUCAGUCUUCAGAACAUUCUUCGAUUUCUAUGACAACCUUGCCUUAUAAGAAAGAAACCCCUUAUGAAAAUUCCUACGUGUUCUCCUGGUCGAGUUAAACUGUUUCUCUUAUACGUUGCAGCCAUUGUUUCUAAUUUCUGUUAGAAUCAGGAAUGGCAUGACAUCCUAAUCCCAUGCUUUUGGUAUUUAUGUGUUUCUAAAAUCUCUCCAACUAAAGUGUAAGCCUCAAGAGAAAAUUCAACAUAUGCACAGUGCAUUAGUUCAUAUGUUUGCUUAGAGCAUCUAGAGCUGGGCUCCUCAAACACCCGGACGGAUGGCCCGGUCAAUGACUGGUCAAAAAUUGUCACCCAGUCGAGCGCCUCAAAUGGACCUCCAACGCUCGGGAUGACUGACACCCCUCAUAUCCAACCCAAAUUUGAAGGGAAUAAGGGAAGGCCCGCACGCAACCGGGUGUGUCCGCCAAGUCGGAUUGACGUGUGGCCCCACAGGAAAACACCUGGAAACCCGACGGAUCGACGAGCGUCUCCUCCGAUGGGGUGUGAACACCGCUUGGCGCCGCUCCGGCUCACCGCCCGAGGGCCAAAGUCCAGCUAUUUAAGCAGGACGUCAUCCCCCAGCCGGAGCCCGUCCACCUCUCUCCCUCUCCGCCUCACUCUUUCCUCGCCGUCCGGCUUUGACAUGGCCCGGCAAAAAAAGGAUGACACGUCGGAGCGCCGGUUCCAGAUUGAGGAGGAGAUCUGGACAAGGACACCGCCCGCAUUGCAGACGGCCUGCCUCCGGACUCACCGGAGCCGAAGGAGGAGGAGGAGGAGGAAGAGGAGCAGCAACCGAUUCCUAUGUUUAAGGAGUAAGGUAUCCCUCAUAUCCAACCCAAAUUUGAAGGGAAUAAGGGAAGGCCCGCACGCAACCGGGUGUGUCCGCCAAGUCGGAUUGACGUGUGGCCCCACAGGAAAACACCUGGAAACCCGACGGAUCGACGAGCGUCUCCUCCGAUGGGGUGUGAACACCGCUUGGCGCCGCUCCGGCUCACCGCCCGAGGGCCAAAGUCCAGCUAUUUAAGCAGGACGUCAUCCCCCAGCCGGAGCCCGUCCACCUCUCUCCCUCUCCGCCUCACUCUUUCCUCGCCGUCCGGCUUUGACAUGGCCCGGCAAAAAAAGGAUGACACGUCGGAGCGCCGGUUCCAGAUUGAGGAGGAGAUCUGGACAAGGCACACCGCCCGCAUUGCAGUCGGCCUGCCUCCGGACUCACCGGAGCCGAAGAAGGAGGAGGAAAAGGAGCAGCAACCGAUUCCUAUGUUUAAGGAGUAAGGUAUCCCUCAUAUCCAACCCAAAUUUGAAGGGAAUAAGGGAAGGCCCGCACGCAACCGGGUGUGUCCGCCAAGUCGGAUUGACGUGUGGCCCCACAGGAAAACACCUGGAAACCCGACGGAUCGACGAGCGUCUCCUCCGAUGGGGUGUGAACACCGCUUGGCGCCGCUCCGGCUCACCGCCCGAGGGCCAAAGUCCAGCUAUUUAAGCAGGACGUCAUCCCCCAGCCGGAGCCCGUCCACCUCUCUCCCUCUCCGCCUCACUCUUUCCUCGCCGUCCGGCUUUGACAUGGCCCGGCAAAAAAAGGAUGACACGUCGGAGCGCCGGUUCCAGAUUGAGGAGGAGAUCUGGACAAGGCACACCGCCCGCAUUGCAGUCGGCCUGCCUCCGGACUCACCGGAGCCGAAGAAGGAGGAGGAAAAGGAGCAGCAACCGAUUCCUAUGUUUAAGGAGUAAGGUAUCCCUCAUAUCCAACCCAAAUUUGAAGGGAAUAAGGGAAGGCCCGCACGCAACCGGGUGUGUCCGCCAAGUCGGAUUGACGUGUGGCCCCAUAGGAAAACACCUGGAAACCCGACGGAUCGACGAGCGUCUCCUCCGAUGGGGUGUGAACACCGCUUGGCGCCGCUCCGGCUCACCGCCCGAGGGCCAAAGUCCAGCUAUUUAAGCAGGACGUCAUCCCCCAGCCGGAGCCCGUCCACCUCUCUCCCUCUCCGCCUCACUCUUUCCUCGCCGUCCGGCUUUGACAUGGCCCGGCAAAAAAAGGAUGACACGUCGGAGCGCCGGUUCCAGAUUGAGGAGGAGAUCUGGACAAGGCACACCGCCCGCAUUGCAGUCGGCCUGCCUCCGGACUCACCGGAGCCGAAGAAGGAGGAGGAAAAGGAGCAGCAACCGAUUCCUAUGUUUAAGGAGUAAGGUAUCCCUCAUAUCCAACCCAAAUUUGAAGGGAAUAAGGGAAGGCCCGCACGCAACCGGGUGUGUCCGCCAAGUCGGAUUGACGUGUGGCCCCACAGGAAAACACCUGGAAACCCGACGGAUCGACGAGCGUCUCCUCCGAUGGGGUGUGAACACCGCUUGGCGCCGCUCCGGCUCACCGCCCGAGGGCCAAAGUCCAGCUAUUUAAGCAGGACGUCAUCCCCCAGCCGGAGCCCGUCCACCUCUCUCCCUCUCCGCCUCACUCUUUCCUCGCCGUCCGGCUUUGACAUGGCCCGGCAAAAAAAGGAUGACACGUCGGAGCGCCGGUUCCAGAUUGAGGAGGAGAUCUGGACAAGGCACACCGCCCGCAUUGCAGUCGGCCUGCCUCCGGACUCACCGGAGCCGAAGAAGGAGGAGGAAAAGGAGCAGCAACCGAUUCCUAUGUUUAAGGAGUAAGGUAUCCGGAUGCAGAGAAGUAAAUUUGAAGGUGUGGCAUUUGAGGGGCCAAAUUUGCUAUCCGCGGAUGUAGUUGCUCUUAUAUAUCUUGUCACAAAAGUGUGGCUCACAGGAUUAUUCAUUCUCCGUGAUGUUUGAAAUGAAAACAGGAACGAGAGGUACUACAACGACAUCGGUUGUGGUGCAUGCGCUACUGCUCGCUGGUGGCACUGGGCCUGCCCCAUGUCUCGCCACUCGGGGUGCAUACGCGCAGUGCUGCCGCCCUAGCAAGAGACAAAAGCGGCGUUCUACACUACACCACACCGUGGCCUGCACAGCGAUAGAUGCGAGCAGGCGCCAACUUUUGUCGCUCGACCACGAGAGAAAUUCACUAGCACCAAAAGCACUCGCUGUUUGCUUUGGCCGUUGGUCAGCUCAGUUCAAUUCUGCCAGCUUUUUGGAAAGAAAAGAUUGAUGUUUUGUCUUCGUGUCUGAGCAUGGUUGGCCUUUACACGCCAGCAACAUCCACGACGCACCAUCGUGGAAAAUAUGGGUGCUUAAGCGAGGUGAUGUAGAUUUGGGUCAUUGUUUACUACUGUAACUGUAGUAGCUAAUUCUUCUUUUGCAUACAGAAAGACAACGUGGUUGGUUCGUGUUACGAGAAAAUGAUGAUUCAACGUAGUAGGUGAUGAUGUUGUGAUCAAUCCGUUGGAAAAGUAGGUUGUCACUCCAUUUUAACGAGAAAAUGGGUUUGGUAUUUCUGUUGCACGAGUUCUUUUCUUUUUCUGAAACUGUGUUGCACGAGUUCUUCAACUCUCUGAAUCAUGAUGGGUAGUUGAGGAAGCGAAGAAAGACCAUCACGUGUGGUACAUGAUAGCAGGACGAAGACAAAUUCUACUGCGAGAAGGGAUGAUGAUGCUGUGGAUCCUUGGCGUACUCAAAAUUAACUCACUCCAUUUUCCGGGACUCGUGGUUGCAUGAGUAACAAACGAUUGGAGAGCAUUAUCCUUCUAUAACCCUGGAACGAAUGAACAUUUUGCACUCGAUAUCCUGGUCAUCGAUGAGUAUUGCUUCAGUACACCACUACAACAUACUACCUCUCCCCUGAUUUACUAGUUCACCUCAUACUUUGGGUACUAUCUUAACCUUGAUUUUAACUAAUAAAAUACAGUAUAAGUUAUACGUACCAAAGGCAAUAUCAUGGGAAACUACAAUAAAAUAUGAAUCCAACAAUAUAAUUUUUUGUAACAUGCAUUAACAUUUUGCUAGUCACAUAUAUGGUCAAAGUUUGACCCAAACUACGAUGGGGACUAAUAAAUACAGACGAAGAUAAUAUUUAAAAACAUAAUUCAAAGAAAAGAAAAAUCAAUGAUGAUUGCUUCUUUUCCUCCUCACAUACUGAUCCGGUUUUGGGUUAAAAAGACAAACAAAACCAACAGUGACAUAACUAACACAGUAAUCAACCAAAACAAGUUUUCGGUGAUGCAAGAUCAGAGCAUUUCUCUUGGUGCCGAUAGAACACUCUACCGAAAGUAAAAAAAUGUUAUACUCAAUAUGACGACCAUGACUGAUUCAGUUUUAGCAUAUCCAAUGCUGCAAUGUUGACUGGGACUCCAACUAAACACCAAGGCCAGAAAAAGGACAUACCCAGUGUUAAAACCUCCCACACUAGGUGGGGUGUCGUGAAGGAUUAUACGAGGCAAGCCUUACCCUUCCGCGGUGCAAUGCAUAGAGGCCGCAUCGAACUCGGGACCUCUUGGCACAGGUGGCGAGUACUCCACCAUUGUGGCAUGCCCACCCUUGACUCCAAUUAAACAACACAACAAAAGAAGCUACGGAUUAGCAUAUGUACCGAUGAUCCAAUUUUAUUGAUAAAAGGAGAUCAGACGUAUUCAUCAGUCGGCCAAAAAUUAACUACUUCCUCCGUAAACUAAUAUAAUAGCAUUUAGAACACUAAAGUAGUAAUCUAAACGCUCUUAUAUUAGUUUAUAGAGGGAGUACUAAAGAUUGACAUAUAGUAGACAUGCAAGACAAUUAAUAGACAUGUUUCCAUUGUUGCAUUUAUUCCAUGAUCUCAUUGAGAAUUGACGAGCAAAGUCGGCCCCAAAGCACCAUGUAAGUUUAAUCGGAAGGGUUGAUCUGGCACUCUUAUUAAUUGUUUUUUUAUCAUUACUAGGCGAUACACCGCGUAUUACCACAAGAAUUUAUAUGAAUAAUUUUUAUCAAGAACAAAUUUGAAUUAUUAAUACCCUCUACAUUCUCGCCAUAUAUAGUUUCAUGUGACUUUCUAGCUUAGGUGAAUGAUUUGUUGCUAAAACAAAUAAAACGAUGAUAUGAAGGGCUUGCAUAUGCUCGAUGAUGUGGAAGGUUUGCAUGUGUUAAAAAAUAGAAUGCGAAGGUUUUGUAUGUAUUUGAUGAUGUAGAGAGUUAUAGCAAUGAGUUGAUAAACUUAUAAUAUUAAUAUUCUCCACAUUAUUGCCAUAUAUAGAGAAGGUGAGUGCAUGUUAUAGUUGCUUGUGACUUCUGCACUUCCGCUUUUGUGAAGCUAGUAGAUACAUUUGGCUUUUUUUCUACGUUUUCCGCUUGGGGUUUUCUACCGGCUUUUGUUUUUCUUCUUUCAUUUGUUAGUUUCAUUUUUUUAACAUUAAUAUUUUUUAAACCACAAUUUCUUUUCAAUUCAUGAAUAAUUUCUGCAAAUUUACAAAAAAAUUAAACCCAUGAAUUUUUACAAAUUGUUAACAUGUUUCCAAACCAUGAGCCUUUUUCCAAUUUGAAAAUGUAAGUAAAUGUACAAUUUUUUUAACUUAUGAACUUUUUUUAGAAAAGUCAACGGUCAACGGACAAAUAGACUACUGGCCAACAAAAGGGGAAACCUGAGCGAUCAAGGAGGUCGCAUUGUUGGGCCGGGCCACGGGAGUGGACAUGCGAGCGCAAAUUGGGUAGCUAGCGCCUAAGGCGCUGACUAGGAGCUUCAGGAUGGUCCCCUAAAGAAAAAAGAGCGUCAGGAUAGAGACAUCGCCUGCGACGCUCGCUAACUGGGCCAGGUCCAAUGUAGUACAACACAAGCUGAGACUCACACUACGCAUGUUUUUUUUUUCAUUCGUUUUUCCCUUUUUUGUUUUUUACCUUUUUAUAUUUGAUAAUAUUCUAAGUAUGUAUUUCCAAAAUCAAUUUACGUAAAUUUUUAAAAAAUUACUGCAUAUCUAAAUAUAUUAAUGCAGUGUAAACAAAUUGUUUGUGCAACUUAAAAAAUUCGUUCCAUUAAACAAAAUGCUCGUGUCAUUUUAAAUAAAUCACACGUUUUAAAAAAAUUCAAGAAAUUUAAAUAAAAUGUUCUUGAAAAUGUAAAAAUUGGUUGUGUGAUUUUUAAAAUAAAUGAUCGACCCAUUCAAAAAAUUAUUCAUGACAUCUAAAAAACUUCACUUUGUAAAAAAUAUGUUUGAUGACAUUAGAAAAAUCAUGAAAUGUAAACAUUUGUUCACGCAUUUUAGAAAAAAAAACAUAACAUGUAAAAAUGCACGUGCCAUUUUCAAAAUGUUCUAACACCUAAAAUAUUAUUUGCAUGUUUUUAAGAAAAUGAUGAGGAUGUUUCUGAAAAAAUUUAAACAUGUAUUUAAAAAUACUUACUACUCCCUUUGUCCAUAAUAUAAGAGUGUUUUUGACACUCAGUAGUGUCGAGAACACUCUUAUAUUUGGAACGGAGGGAGUAUGUUAUUAAGAAAUGCUCAAUGUGCAUUUUACAAAAACUAAUUGUGCAUUAAUAAAAUGUUUAACAGGUUUAAAAAUAUAUUUAAACCUGUAUAUAAAAACAUGAUUCUUGGCGAAAAUUCUGUCAAAUAUUCAAAGUUUUUGAAAAAGGUCAAUAUUUAUUUUCCAAUUGAAGAAAAAACAAAAACCAAUGGAAAAUAAAGAAAAACACUGAUAAAACAGGCAAGAAAGAAGCUUUUAAAACGUUUGCCAAUUGAAGAAAAAACAAAAACCAAUGGAAAAUAAAGAAAAACACUGAUAAAACAGGCAAGAAAGAAGCUUUUAAAACGUCCAUAGAAGCUCUUCAAAACUGCUCCGAGAAAACAACACGAAAGCACGUUGCUAAGCCAGCCCAGACCAAGUCACGACGAAAACCCUCAAGGCGGGAUGGUGCUCUAUCUUGCAGUUGGCGAGCUAUAGCACCGACGCUUGCUAGAAAGUGUGGAUCUACUAGUGGGCAGCACAUUCUUUUUAGGGGUAUUAGUCGACUAAUUGAAAAGUACCCAUUGUAAAGAUCACUCUCAUUUUUCCAGGUUACGACAAAUGACGCGCUACAUGUGCAUAACCUGGAUUUUUUUUCCGUAGAUCCGUUUAUUUCAACGUUUUUAUCUUUUAAACCGUGCGUCCAAAUCUCGAACCGCUUUCACAGUUUGAUUCCUCGCAUCGAGAUCUUCAAAACUAGAUCCCAUGUUGAUAGAUUUUGACGAAAUUUUCUCUCAUGAAAAGCCCAGACAAAAAACCGGACCGAGAGCACGGGUUUUUUCACUUUUUGAAAGAGGGAUGCCCAUGCCUCUUACGAAAUCACAACCGUGCCUCUCACGAAAGCAAAACCAUGCCUUUCGCGAAAACAAAAAAAACACGUGUUUUUUUCGUUUUCGAGGAGGCACGACCAUACUUCUCGCGAAAGGACAACCAUGCCUCUCGCGGAAGCAAAAUCGUGCCUUUUACAGAAGCAGAAAAAAAAGAGGAAACACGUGUUUUUUUCGUUUCCGAGAAGGCAUGGCCAUGCUCUCGCGAAAGGACAACCAUGCCUCUCGCGAAAGCAAAAUUAUGUCUCUUGUGAAAGAAAGAAAAACAAAAAACGCAUUUUCCCCCUUUUCCGAGAGGCACGGCCGUGCCUCCCGCGAAAGCACAAAUGUACCUCUCGUAGAAGCAAAACUGUGACUCUCGCGAAAAAAAACAAAAAACUCGUCUUUUCUUUCCGUUUCCGAGAGGCACGGGCGUGCCUCUCGUGAAAGCACAACCAUGCCUCUUGCAAAAGAAAAAUAAAUAGAAAACAUAUUUUUUUCGUUUCCAAGAGGCACGGCCGUGACUCGCGAAAGCAAAACCACUACUCUCGUGAAAGGGAAAAACACGUUUUUUCCUGCAAUUUUUUUAAAUAUUUUUUUAUCCAAAAGCUAAGGAAGACCGAUAGAAAACCAAAACAUCAAAAUCCAAAAAAAAACAUUUAAAAAAGCCGAAAACGUGUGCGAAUUUUUUUUCGAAGAGAGCGCCAAGAGCGCAACACAUGACGAACGGCUGAGAGCACGCCAAGUGACGCUGAUCGUUAUGAGGCUUCCGAAGAAGCGCUCGUCAACUAGUUGCUCUCGGUACUAGUGGGCAGCACAUGAGAGAGUAGUUUUUCCUAUGAGCGAAAUGAGAGAGAGUAGGUAUGUAACAGAGGUAUGGAUCCAAGGCCCAAAAGGCAAAAAGCUAAAAGCCCAUCCACUAUCGCAGAGCUCCCACCGGCGUCCGCGUGCCCGGUGCGUGCGCGCACGCCAUUCGCGUCGCCCUAGUGCGGCCGCGGCUUUCUCUCUUUCAACCUUUUUUUCCCCAGAAAAGCUUAAGCCACUUUUCACCAGCCAUGACAUGUGGGUCCCGCGCUCGACGUGGCCCGGCCGCUCAGCGAUGGAAGACGGCGACGGAAAAGUUGCACCAAAACCCCUCGCUCCACGGCGCACUCACUCAUCAGGACGAGAGUGAGGGGAGAAGAGGAAUGUGCGCGACGACGACGGCACGCUCGAGGGUCUCUCCCUCCUCCGCUCGCUAGUGUGGCCCCCGUCUCUCCGCUCGCCGCCGGGCCGAAUCGCGCGCCCGCGCGCCCACCCCCGACGCCGCCAUGGAUUUCCUCUGCCCCGGCGAUCCGACGGUACGGCUCCUAAACCCCUCGCGCGCGCCGGAUUUCCCCCUUUUCGAAUGCGCGCUGUGUUGAUCAGGACGCGGCGGUGGUUUCUGCAGGUCUGGGACGGGAGGCGUUUCGCCCCGUGCUUCGCGGAUUUAUAUCCUUUUUCCUCCUUCGUUGUGCGGGUGGUGACGAUCGGAAAUCGUUUUUGGCUUUGCUAUUCCUUAAUUUUGCUCCGCGUCGCACGGUGCUGGGGCUCGGGGGGAAUGUGGUCGCCGCGGUCGCCGUCCUGACGCUCUUCAUCGCCAGGAGGAACGCGUCUAGAGCCGAGGUACUGGUCCGACUGUGUUCAGAACUGAUUAACUGCUCUGGUAAAUUAGUUCGUAUCAAAGUAAAUAGGAGUAUAUCUUAAUCGAUACUUAUAGUGGAUACAUGGUUGAUGGCACCAACUUAUUAUUUGCUGGUGAGGCAUCGCAGCACCGAGCAAAAUCGCAUACAAGUUCAGCUCAGUUUGCUUGCAAUUGGGCCUCUCGAGUUUGAGGAUGUCUGAAAGCACGAAGACAGUUAACUAGUGACAGAGACAACAAUACAACAUAUAUGAUUAUUUGCGGGACCUGUCAUUCUCAAGGUGUUAUUAUUGUCUGUUUACAAAUUCUAGGACAGUCGGAUGCUGACAGCUAUUUCUUACAGGCAGACCAUUUAUGUACUUAUACUAAUCUAGAGUGUUGAGUUUACUAUCUAUUAAACAAUAGGUUGAAACAGGGGUUCAGUUAAUAAUAUGCUGAAGGAUGAAUUGCUAUGCAACUUCCAUGUAUUUCAGAACUCACUGAAGGUCUUUGUUGCCGGUUGGUUUUCUACCAGUUGGAGUACUGAACUCAAAGAUUCUAGCUGAUGAUCUGUUUGAUGUUUCUAGUGGAGAACAAAUAUGUCCUGUUUGAAUAAGUGGAGAACUGAGAGUUGCUUAAAUGUUGCAGAAGUUUAAUCAUCAAAUAUGCCAUGUUUGCAACGAUAGUUAAUUAGACUUCAAUUAGCGAUUAUAAUUUUAUACACUGUUAUUACUUUUUGCCAAUGUUCUUUUAACGAUUAUAAUUUCACUCGCUGCUUCAGAACGUCAGGAGACGUUUACCAGAAAAGUUGUUUGUGUUCGGCAUACCUAGCUUUGCAGCCUGCCUUUCUUUGCUUGGACUAAUUGUGCUCGUAAAGAAGAAAAUUGAAGGGAUAGAUGUCCCAAACCACGAAUCAUUCUUCAGGUGCUCCCAGUUUCUUGCAUGGGUAAGAGGUUCAUUACAAUAACGAUCUGCAUGCUCUUCCUUUCCAGCCGGCCAUUAUAGUCUGUCCUUUGAAUAGGUAGCUGUUCUUAUCUCUGCCAAUGGCCCUUGGUCCGAAAUAAUAUGCAACCCAAUCAUAUGCAUCUGCUGGAUGUUGAAGAUUCUUCUAGAGAUACCUCAUUUGCAAUACAAGCUUACAGAAAUGAAGGUAUUCCAUUUUACACACAAUCUGCUGUCUUUUCUUCCCUUUGAGUGAUGCUUCUUUGUUAUGGAUACGAGUUAUGACACUCUUCUCUACGAUUUUCUGCUGUAUUACGAUAACCUAUAAUUUCUCUGUCCAUUCAACUGUUUCUUUAGCUGGCAUGGUACUGCAAGUUGCAUACAAAAUUGACAUGAAAUGGCAGCUACACAAAAAGAAGCAUCUAGUUUAUGCUCUGUUUUGGUGUUCAUUACAGGCAAUGGCCUAUGUUACAGAGAUCGUCUCAUUCUCUACAUCAAUUACAUUUGGACUUUUUCUUAUUGUCAUAACUGCAGUACACAAAUUAUGCAACAAAAGGUAACUGGUUGUAAAUCACCCACAGCACAUUAUUGUUUUUAUUAAUGCUUAAAUCGGUUUUUAUCUUUUAGGAACUAGGAAUUAUACUUGGAGCAAGCAUGUUGCUUAUCAUGAAAUGCAACCUAAGUCAUUGGUAUAUCAUGUAUAAAUAACUUAUGCUUAGUCAUUCUAAUUAGUACACUCUUGUGCUUUAUUUUAAUCUUACCAUCCUCUAUUUUAUGUUUGUUGUUGUUAAAUGAGGCAAAGUCAAACUACAACUGUAAUUUGUUUUGGAUCCAUGCAGGCUGCAUCCUCUAUUUAACUUUAACCUAGGCACGCUAGACAAUUCUUUUGCCAAGCACAGCAACCUAGCUACUCUGUUGAAUAAUCAACCCUGUGUUGUUAUUCAUACUGAGCUGUGUUCCUCACAAUUCAUGUAAAGCUGUGUGCUGUGUUGUUCUCUUUCAGAGAAGUUAACUCUAUCGAAGCUCCCCUCAUUCCGAGCAAUGAAAAUUCUGAGGCUGAAAAUGCAAACUUGGUAUGACGUUUUUGUAAUCCCUUUUUGAGUUCCUGUUGUACAUUCAGGAUGUGUGCAAUUUCGUAUGUUAUAAAUGCAUAAUUUUGCCUAAACUCGUCAAGUUAAUGUUAACUUUCCUCUCAUAAAAAUAUAUGGCAUCUUUGUUUCGAGGGCAAGUGAUUUGUGUGGUACAAAUGGCAUCCCUGUAUUGGGUGCAGGUGUCAGCCCCAAACAGCUGAAAACUCCAAGUGACAAUUGCAAACAUGGCAGGAAUAGUUGAAUCAAUAUUAAGGUUAUGCCAACCUACAAUCCACACCUGCAAACAUGUUCCUCUAAAACCAUGCCAGUAUGUUAAUGUAAACCUUUGGUGUAUGAAAAAAAUAUGUUCCUGCUACUUGAUUAUUUGUAAUUUGGACACUGGUAUUUCGCUUCUAUUAACCAAAUUACAUAGUUCAGCUUCUGAGUUUCUCUAUGCUUUAUGUCCUGUCCUCUCAGAUAAAUAAGCAGCACAAUGUCUGGGAACUGUUGACUUUUAAGUCUGUUAAUCCAAUGAUGGACAUUGGUAUCAGAAGACAACUAGACUUCACAGAUCUACUUGAAUUACCCGCUGAGCUCAAAACUGCUUCCUGUUAUGACAAACUUCUGUCUUCCUGGACUGCUGAACAUCAAAAAUACCAUGCUGAUUCUUCUCUACUUAGAGCUAUGUUUUACGCUUAUGGAUGGUCCUACUUACGUUUGGGCAUACUAAAGGUACCUUUUUAAAAUUAUUAUAGAUCAGCUGAGUAAAUUUAUGUCGUAUAUAUGAGUUAGUUGUUCGGGGUUGUAAUUUUAUUAAAGAGGGCGUGGGAUUUAUGACACAGAAGUACAUGAUCUCUUUCUGCAUCCCCCUUCUAUAGCCAUGUUGCAUACAUGACCAGAUUAACCAAGUUACAAAAAAAAAGGAUUAUCAUAUUGCUAUUGAAAACUCCAUGUACUAGAUGCUGGGAUGGAUUUUAUUAAUUUGAUACGGGUCCUGUGACAGACAGCUUUGUGAUUAAUAUAUUGCUAGCAGUUCACAAAAAGGAGGUUGAUGUACUUGGUUAAUAAUUUCUAUCUUGUUCAACGAAUGCUGGCAAAAUUAUUGCUUAGAAUGAACCCUACAUUCACAGAUUGUUUUGUUUUCUAAUAUAUUAUUAUAAUUUCCGUUCGUGCAGGUGAUAAAUGACAGUAUCAGUUUUGUAAGCCCACUGCUACUCAACAAGUUCAUAAAGCUUAUUCAAGGUGUUGUUUCCUAAAAAUCUACAAGGCUUUCCACUAAAAAUUUCCAAGGAUAAUAACUGCCAUGUUCCUCUGGCACUAAAACUUGCACUAUACAGAGUGUUUCUUUAGUUUGCUUCACAUGGAUAGCUCAGGAAAACCAAAGACAAUCAGCAAAUAUUCUCACAAGCUUUUUAGAAGUAAUUCUUAGGAUGCUGCUGCUAGUUCUUGUAGAAGCACUGCAUAAUAUGUUGGGAUUCAUCAAUAAAUAAACUACAAGAUGUAUCUGAAUAAUGUUCCUUAUCAAAGUAGCAUCCAUUAUACUGGUUUGUUUGUGCUUUUUAGCCAUGUAAAUAAACCAAGCUACAUCUUCUGGUAUUUAUCAACAUUUCUUUUGUCAGGUUCCGUUGGCAUGGAUGGAUAUAUUAUUGCCAUUUCCCUAGGAUUGACUUCGAUUAUCAAGUAAAUCUUCUCACCACAAAUUAAUUGUGCGUUUUCGUGUGAUCUGGAAGUCUAGCUAGACACAUUAUUCUUAACUCAGUCUUAGAUACUGAUGAGCUACAAGUGAAUUUUGCAGCAAAAAUAGUCACAAUUUAUGAAAAUGAUUUUUUUUUAUUUUGGUACUUCACCUCGAGUGUUGGGUCCAUUUUAGUUUUUUCUUUAAAUUUGGAAGUGUAGACAUAUUGUUUUUAACCGAGUCUUAGACAGUGAUGAGUUAUAGUUGAAAAUUGUGGUAACAUAGUCAUGAAGAUGAAAAAUUUAUUUUUGAUACUUCAACAAGAGUGACGAGUCUUUCUUUUAGCAGAAAGUGAUGAGUCCAUUUUAUGUAUUGAAUUUAUUGAGAUCCACAGCAUGCCUUCAGUUUCAUUUUGAACGAAAUAAACAUUCAGUUUAAAAGUUGCAAACCGCGUAAGCCUCUUUUUUAUUCACUGACGGACAGGUUAUGUGAUAGGCAUUGUGGUCUUCUCAUGUUAUCUUCUGAAGAAUGAUGCAUCAUGCCGUACACUUGUACUGGUGUCACAUAUUUAUUUUACUGCUGCUUUAGCUAGAUUGGUUUCGUCCUGAAUGGAAUAAGUAUGAUAAAAACAAUGACUUCACCAGUUAUAAUGUCUGACCUCUUGUGGUAUUACAAGUGUGGUUUUUUACUUGUCGUAAUGACCAUACUAAACAAUGAAACGACAUAAAUGCUGAACAAUUAUUUCCAGAUGAUUAACCACUUGUGCAUCUUUUCAAAUCUCAUUAGUAAUUAACUUUAUUCAAUUUCUGUUUCACCGUUUGCUAGGUCAUUUUUAGAUACCCAGUACUCCUUUCGUCUUGCAAAGCUCAAGUUGAUGUUGCGAUCAAGCAUGAUGGGAAUAGUUUACCAGAAGGUAUGCCUACUGUAAUUCUGUCAAAAAUAAAAAAAAUUAAGCAAAGAACAUUGCAGUCUGCUUGCAUUGUACAAUAGUUAAUUAAACUGGUCGUGAGGAAAUAUUACUAAGAUGUUUGUAUGCAUCUUGGCUACUAUUCACUUCCCAAGAACGAUAGGAAUCAUCAUCUAGGACACUAGGUCACGAUUUCCUGACAUUCAGUAUGGAUCCAGUGAGUAGUUUGUAUGAUAGCUCAUGUUUGUUUAGACCAAUCUUGUGAGAUUGUACAAUAGUUGUAGCGCAUCUUCUGUUGCUAGCUGCUGCUGUAGAGUGUUUUUUUUUGUUCUUACAAAUCAACAAGGAAUUUUGUAACAACUUCCGAUAGACUUGAAGCAUCAUUCAAACAUUACUUGACUUACCUUUGUCCCUUUUCAUUUUGUAUGCGCCUUAAAAAACAGUGUCUAUGCCUCAGUCUAUCUGAGCGUUCUAGGUUUUCUGAAGGAGAGAUUCAGACCUUCAUGUCUGUUGACGUUGACCGCACAGUAAACAUAUGUAACAAUCUUCACGAUGCUUGGAGGUAUUUCAUUCUCUACUGAUUCUUGGCUAUUACGAACUUAAAUUGUAUGCUUGUGCCGCCUUAAUUAAUUGCAGAAUUGCACACUUUGGUGUUUGGUUAGCUUCCCAUUGCAGAUUGGACUUGCUCUUUACCUACUGUAUACACAAGUCAAUUAUGCAUUUCUAUCUGGACUUGCAAUAACAAUCAUACUGAUACCAGGUAUUGGUAUUUUUUUAAUUGUUUAAUGUGAACUAGGUUUCCGUAUAUCGAGAGAGAGUUGCCAGGUCAUAAAUCCCAUUUUUUCAUGUUACUUGUAGAUCAUUCUUCAGCCUCUCACUUCAUCAAUGUCUCCGUUUAUCUGGGGCGUUGACAGAUACAUCCUCCAAUGCUAGCGCUAACACAUAAAAAUGUGCAUCUUAAAGCAACCAUGAUUCCAUAAAUAUUGCAUCACGUCAUGCUAGGCCUUUCUUAUCAUUACUUCAAGAUUGAUGUUAAAAUUGUGUCAUCAAAACACUGCCAUAUUUUACAGUGAACAAAUGGAUUUCUACAAGGAUUGCUACUGCCACACAAAAAAUGAUGAAGCAAAAAGAUGAGAGGUGAGAUAAGCAAUUCCUCUCUUACUAUCGUGGAACAAAGAAACUAUUGUCUUAAUUGAAUAAUAGGAAUAGAAAAAAAAGUUUGAGUAAUUGUGCAAAAAUGUCUGUUGCUAUUUUUCUGUGCAGGAUAAGUUGUGCAGGAGAACUCUUAGCACACAUUAGAACAGUGAAGAUGUACAGCUGGGACAAACUAUUCACUCAACGCUUGAAUAAAAGAAGAGAACUAGAAGUGAAGCAUCUUGCGGUGUGCAGUUGCUUGUUAGCAAUUUUAAAAUUUCUAUCAAGUUGCAUUUUUGGCACUAGAACUCACAGGUGCUUCUUUUCCUGACAGACUCGAAAAUAUCUGGAUGCAUGGUGUGUCUAUUUCUGGGCAACCACGCCAACAUUGUUCUCCCUUUUCACCUUUUCCAUAUUUGCAAUAAUGGGCCACUCACUGGAUGCCGCCACGGUAAAGCAAUAUCUUGAAUUAUAUGUUUGAAACAUGCCCUCGGGUCACGGGGUGUGACAAAAACUCCAUACAUGGAUUCUAGGUUUUCACCUGUGUCGCACUCUUCAACACAUUAAUAUCUCCCUUAAACUCAUUGCCAUGGGUUAUUAAUGGGAUGAUUGAUGUAAGUUAGAUGAUCUCUAUCUGCUAUUGUAAUGCCAGAUGCAUCUCUACCACUGUAACCUUACCUGUAUUCUCUGGUAUUGCAGUCUGUUAUCUCUAGCAGAAGAUUGCGCAACUAUUUGUCUACUCCAGAGCAUUGCUCUUCCGAGUUGACUAUCUCAAGUGACGUUGUAAAGGAUGAUUCCAACAGACAUACUGAAACAAUCUAUGAUCCCACAGCUGUUAUAAUCAGGAACCUAUGUUGUUCUUGGUCUAGUACCUCCACUGUUGAGCCCCAAAUAAUUCUCAGAGACAUAUCUCUGCAGCUACAGAAAGGCCUCUUCAUUGCAAUCGUAGGCGAGGUGAUUUUUAAAAUUGUAUAAUUAUCCUACUACUUUCUUUGAAUAUUUCUCUUUUAGUUGGUGAAAGAAUACCUUGGGGAUACUGUAUUACUGGCUGAAAAUCAUAUUUGAAUUUGCAAUACUAUUACCAGUGACACCUUCUUAAAUUUUCAUUGCCACACUUUUUUUCUUCUUUUCUCCAGCUUCAUCGAUUCUCUGACACUUCUAUAAUGCAAAUUUGCGUUUGAUUUGGAUAAUGAUAGUUGGAUAGGAACUUUCACAAGGCUUUCUAUUAAGCACCUUAAUUUGCCAAGAGGAGUAAAAAUAACCACUCUUGUAGAGUGUUGUGGCUAUUGCAGUUGUUUUCUGUUAAUUGGAAAAAUAAUAAUAUUAUGUUCAUUUUCAGGUUGGUUCAGGCAAGUCAUCUUUGCUGAACUCUAUUAUUGGAGAGAUGUCUGUCAUCAGUGGUUCUAUUAACUCAUGCGGUUCAAUUGCAUAUGUACCACAGGUUGUACUUUAUGAUUUAGAGAUGGCUUAAGAUUUCGCAGUUGAACUGCAUAAAACUUAAAUUUUUCAUUGGUUUUUGUAGGUACCUUGGAUAUUAUCUGGGUCUUUACGGGAUAACAUUUUGCUUGGAAAAGGAUUUGACACAAGGAGGUAGAUUAUUAAAAUGUUAUCUUUACCAAUAAGAAUCACUUGUUCUACUAAUGGUGGUGCUUUUUUAUUUUUCUUAAAAGCUGAAAUACCUGGUGUUUAUUGUGUAAUAUUUUAAUUAUUAUUCUGUGUUGGAGCAUUUAUGUAGAUAUGAAGAAGUAAUACAAGCAUGUACCCUUGAUGUUGACAUCUCAACAAUGAUUGGGGGAGAUAUGUCACAUAUUGGAGAGAAAGGUCUCAACUUAUCGGGUGGACAGAGAGCCCGUCUAGCAUUGGCAAGGUCAUAUUAAAAACAUUGUGCAGUUGACACUGGAAAGUCCAAAGUUUUUGUACUAACAACGUGAUCAUAUACUUGCAGGGCUUUGUAUCAUGACUCUGAUGUAUACUUGUUCGAUGAUAUACUUAGUGCAGUUGACUCACAGGUUGCUUCAUGGAUCCUCGAAAAAGCCAUUAUGGGACCACAAAUGAAGCGAAAAACACGAUUAUUAAGCACCCACAAUCUCCAGGUAAUGAUUUUCUGAUCUCACCAAAGCAAAUUGUAGCAUGUUGUUUCUAAAUGCAUGAAACGAGCAUUUAAUUUGAUAGCAAGAAAAUGAAGAUAGCUUCCACUAAAACAACAACAACGUUUCCUUUUUCUUCAGGCUAUUUAUGCUGCAGAUAUGAUUGUGGUCAUGGCUAAUGGAUUUGUCAAAUGGUUCGGGACAUUGGACAGUUUCUUGGCAACUCCAUAUUCAAAAAUAUCUAAUCCAGAUAGUUCAUCUGCUGUCUCAGCAACAAGUUCACAAAAAAAUAAAGGACCAAGCACCUUUGAAUUCAACACUAAAGAUGUGCUUGACAAUGGUUCAGUGGUUGAUCAGGAGGAACAAAGAGAUCAGACUGAAGCAGAGGGCAGGAAAGAAGGCAUGGUUGAGAUAAUUGUGUACAAGUGAGUUGUUUUGCAAUAUUGUUGAUUUACUGCAUUGAAUAGUGGAAGCUUCUUAAACUUCCUACUACAACUAAACCGAAAUGAUUAUUUCUACAGAAAAUAUGCAACACUUGCAGGGUGGUCAAUGGUAUUUCUGAUAUUUGUGAGUGCAUUCUUAAUGCAAGCAUCUCGUAAUGGCAAUGAUCUUUGGUUGACUUACUGGGUGGAUAGCAGUUCAGGCACCAAUAACACAAGAUUUUAUCUGGUAAGAGUGCUCUCUAUCUAAGAAUACUGAAUUUGAACAGUUAUUAUUAUAAAUAUGUUAUCUAUAUCUGGUCACUCAAAACAGAAGACAACGUGUGAAAUAAAUAAGAUCUGAUGUGCAUUUUUGCUUAUCAAAGAUUUUGAUCUGUGUAGACUAUCCUUGCUGGGUUUGGCAUAAUCAACUCCUUUUUCACAUUGGGAAGGGCAUUUUCUUUUGCAUAUGGCGGUCUGUGUGCAGCAAUUCAGAUACAUGCCGAUCUUCUUGGCAGUCUAAUUGGUGCCCCAGUUUCUUUUUUCGACCAAAAUCCCAGUGGCCGAAUACUGAAUAGGUUAGUAUGUCAGGAAUCUUCAGCAAACUCUGCAAUACAGAAACAUCCUUGAUGAACUUUAUGAACUUCCAGAUUAUCGUCAGACCUCUACACUGUUGAUGAUUCCCUUCCAUUUAUCCUCAAUAUAUUUGUGGCCAACUUCUUCAGCUUACUUGGCACCCUUGUUGUUUUGUGUUAUUCACAGGUAAAUAUGCAAUAGUUUUACUAUAAUUCUAAUGUGGGCCGACAUUAUAUUCAAAUAAAUUAAUUCACUUAGCUUGUAACUCAUGAAUGUUCCCAUGCAGGUUACAUUUCUACUCAUCUUAGUCCCUCUCUGGCUUAUCUACAGCAAAGUGCAGGUACUGUUAUCCAUUUCCUUAGUUUGUGCUUUUCUUCACUAAGGCUAUGGUCCUUCACAUUCUUCCAAUUUUUUAAAAUUCAUUAUUCGAACAUUCUCAAUGCAUGUUAUGUGUUAGCCUAAAUACAUUUACAGUGUGGAACCUGGUUCUUUUGCACUGUACAUAUGCUCUACUUUUGGAGAAACAAAUUAACAUUCUGUGCAGUUCUAUUACAGGUCGACAUCACGUGAAGUAAGACGGCUUGACAGUGUUGCUCGUUCACCUAUCUAUUCAUCUUUUACAGAGACACUUGAUGGUUCAUCAACGAUAAGAGCAUUCCAAAAGGAGGUAUGUUAAUUACAUCAGGACUAUUGAAAAUUAUAUGAAGGAUACCAGAGCCUUUGCCUUCAUUUGAACCUAGCUGUUAGAACUUUAAAGCUCAAGUGACUUGUGUUGAUGUGAUUUGUUCAAGAUACUGACGGUAAAAUACACAGGGUUUUUUCUUAGAGAGGUUCAUCCAACAACUGACGCUAUAUCAGAAAACAUCCUACUCUGAACUUACUGCUAGUCUGUGGCUCUCAUUAAGACUCCAGGUAUAACUCUUUGUCAAGGGAUAGUAACUUCAUCUUCUGUUAUGAAACCAUGAAUCUUUAUCUAUUAGUUAGGCCUAUCGCGCAGUCAAUGUAUUAACUAGCAGAUCACUUUAGUUGUUGGCAGGGUUGGUCAUUUUGUUCAUCGCCGUGAUUUCCGUUGUUGGCUUCCAUAGCAACUCUCCUGUUAAGUUUGGUACACCUGGACUGGUAAGUAUGACAGGGAAGAAAUUACCAACUCCAGGCUCAUUUGUUUACAUUUCUGUUCCUGUUGAAAAUAUUGGUAUGUUUGAACUAUGUAGAAUUUAAGAUAGAGAAAAUAAGAGAUUACCAACUCCAGGCUCAUUUUUUUACAUUUCUGUUCCUGUUGAAAAUAUUGGUAUGUUUGAACUAUAGACUUUGAUAGAGAAAAUACACUGCAGGUUGGCCUGGCGUUAUCGUAUGCAGCACCUGUUGUAUCACUGUUGAAUAGCUUCUUAACCACUUUUACAGAGACAGAAAAGGAAAUGAUCUCUGUUGAGAGGGUUGUUGAGGUAAAAAGCCAAGAAAUAUUCUGCCUGUUACUGACAAGCAUAUUUUCCUCUAGUAAUUCAAUAAUGCUUGCAGUAUGUCGGUAUACCUCAAGAAGAACUCCAGGGAUCAGAAGCUCCUGAUAGAAGUUGGCCAACAGAAGGGAAGAUUGAGUUUGAGCAUGUAACUCUAAGGUACAAAGCGGACCUACCACCGGCUUUGAAUGAAAUCUCAUUCCAUAUUGAAUCUGGCAUGCAGGUAUGGUAACUGUCUGUAUAUUCUUAUUGAGUCAUUCAGAAAACUACCAUUAAACUUCCCUGGUUUAUUAGGUUGGAAUAAUAGGAAGGACCGGAGCAGGAAAAUCCAGUAUACUGAAUGCACUUUUCCGUUUAACUCCAAUAUGCAAUGGUCGCAUCUUAGUAGACGGUUUUGAUGUGGCCAAAGUUGCUGUCCAAGAUCUUCGUGGACAUUUUGCAGUAGUACCCCAGAGUCCGUUUUUGUUUGAUGGUUCUUUGAGGUAAACUAUUAGUUGCUCUAAUUUCUCUCUUUUCUGGCUUCUACAAUUUUGUGGGCAUUGGUUGGACAUUUAGAGAACUAAACAGAGAAACCUAUGUCCAGCAUUCUAAUUUUGAGUUGACAAACAGGGAAAACCUAGACCCUUUCGGUAUAACAACAGAUAUCAGGAUAUGGGAAGCUCUUGAAAAAUGCCAUAUGAAGGCAGAGAUAGAAUCAAUAGGAGGACUCAAUAUUCAUGUGAAAGAAAGUGGUGGAUCCUUUUCAGUAGGCCAGCGACAACUCCUAUGUCUCGCCCGUGCUAUCCUAAAAUCAUCAAAGGUAUCUAUACUAUGUUGGUCUUUUCAAACUUUCUGCAAGUUUCAUCAGCAGCAAAAGCUUAUGACGUUAAGCUGCGUGCCACGUAGUUGCUCAAAGAAGUUAAACUUGCUAAUGAUUCUACAGGUACUUUGCCUUGAUGAGUGCACAGCCAAUGUUGACAAUCAGACAGCAUUCCUGUUACAGAAAACUAUUUCUGCUGAAUGCAAGGGCAUGACGGUCCUCACCAUAGCCCACCGCAUUUCAACUGUGAUGAAGAUGGACAAUAUUCUAGUUCUUGAUCAAGGCAAACUGGUAAGCCAUGCCUUUAUGCUUUUAUAACCUCUUAGUGGUGAGAUAUACCCGAAGAGUCAAAAUCUGGAUGCAACAAAAUGCUUCACAGAAAUGAACAAACGGCAACGUUAAUCAGAUGCCCUUCAUUUGACAUGUGCAGCAGCGUGGUUAUACUAUGUUCAAAUCAUUAGAAAUGUGCCCUUCGCUCACCUUGUUAGAAUGGUAUCUAACUCUAUUUCCUCCAAAUUUAGGUUGAAGAAGGAAACCCGGAGGUUCUUAUGAAUGAUGACAGAUCAAGAUUCUCACGAUUUGCGAAGGCAUCUAUGUGAUCCUAGGAAAAUCAUGUGCCACUCUGUGUUGUACUACUAGAUGAAACACUAGCGCUUAGCUGCAUCUCUCACUUUGAUCAAUGAUACCGUCUUCAGCUCGCAUGCGCAUCUAAGAGCUUAUAGGAAGCCUGAUCCUCUAGCUUAUGAAUCGAUUUGUCGGAACUCAAGGUUUUCUGAAAUGGAUCUAGGAUAUAAUUUGUUAUAUCAAAGUAUUGUCAUCACAGCAAAGUUGAAAUGAACCCAGAUGAAAUACUCAUAAACCAACAAUCACAACCGAACCAGGCAAGUAAGCAGUAGUACUGCAGUAAUUGCAAUCCACGGUACCAGCAAAUCUGGAUCCAAUUUCAGGCACUAUGUAACCCGUCCAAAAUGUACAUAUACAGGGGGGCAGGAACAGGGCUGGUUCAUUCCACUAACCUAAUCCCACAGAAAGACCACACGGCGGGGGAGGAGAGGAGUGCUGCUCAGGCGACGUAGAUGUAGUCGUCGUCGUGGCGGCGGACGCGGUCGGGGUCGACGGAGCAGAUGACGUAGGCGGCGUAGAGGACGCCGGGGAGGUAGCCGAGGAUGGUGAGCAGCACGCUGAUCCAGAACUCCAUCUGCCGCGGAAACGGGGAGGAGGAGAGAGAGAGAGAGACACGGUGAUUAGCCGGCGAAGAAAGGGAGGGGGUUGAGGAGGGGAAUGGCGAGGUAAAAUUGGUGGCGUACGGAGCAGCAGCCGUGGCGGAGGCAGACGCCGAGGGGCGGGAGGAGGAUGGCGCACAUGAUCUCCAGGCACCGGCAGCAGCACGAGCACAGCCCCAUCGCGCUGUCUCCGGCUGGGUUGCUCGCGGUCGCCGGACUCGGAGGCGGAGGCGGAGCUGCGGGAGGGAAGUCGACCAACAACGAUGCGUGCGCGGCUCUGUUUUUGUGUGGGGGAGGUCGCGACUCGGUUGGAUUUGGGGACACGGAGACGCCACUUGUGCACGGCAGCGUCGCGCUUUACAGGUCACGCUGAUCCGGAACCCCAUCUGCUCCAGCAGCAACACAAAAGAAAACGGCAUGCAAAAGAGAGAGAGACGACCAGAUGGCCAGGCAUCCGGUGAAUCAGCUGGUGAAAGAGAUGCAUGGAGCUGUGUUUUGAUUUUCGGUUUGAGCUUUUUUUCGCCCUAGGCCGAGAUGGCCGAAUUUCGGCCAUUUUCAAAAAAUUCGGCUGAAAUUUGACCAAAUUUUGACUGCAAUUUGACUUAAAUUUGACCAAUAUUUACCAAAUUUGAGCAAUUUCGGCCUAAUUAUACUUUUCGCCUCAGGCCGAGAUGGCCGAAAUUUGGCCGAAAUCCACUUUUUGCGGCCGAAAAUCAAAACACAGGCAUGGAGGAAAUGAAACACGGUGAGCUCGCUCGUUGGCCGGUGUGUGUGUGUGCUGCGUACGCACCUUUAGCCCCGGUUCAUAUCUCAAAUCGGGACUAAAGGUCUAAUCUUUAGUCCCGGUUUGAGACACGAACCGGGACUAAAGAGUGCGAUGCCCUUUUGUUUCGGUUUGUGUCUCAAACCGGGACUAAAAGGCUCAUUUGAACCGGAACUAAUGCUUUUAGAUGCUUGAACCGGGACUAAUGCUCACAUUAGUCCCGGUUCGUAAUGCAACCGGAACUAAUGUGUAUAUUGCGCUGUGACCAAAGCCAUGUUUUCUACUAGUGAGGCGUCGCUCGGAAGGCAGAGCCGGCACAACCGGACAUGGACGCACAAGCGCUGGCAGCGCAGGGGUGGUCAUGGACUCCAACGCUGCCAGCUACACGUCCUACGUGUCGUCAUCCAACUUUCGGGGACGCAUGUGGCAGAUGGACAGUGACAUUACAUCUACGUCCAUCAUCGACCUCACGUCCACCGGCGCCGGCGACGGACAGCUCGGGGACUCCUCCGAGGAUGAAUAGGGCAUGUGAGGCGGCAGUGCAUUGUGUCCCAAGUCGGCCGGUUUGUCUCCCAUGUUCUACUCUUCUUUGCUGGAGAUCGCAUAUUCACUUCACGGGUUUUGAACCCUACCGCCUCGCAUGAAGACAACAGAUGGAGAACGUGGUCGCCGAUACGAAAUACAAAGGAAGUGGGCGAUGGCCGCCGUUGUAGUAUAGGUUUAGGGUCCGACCGCUAUUUUGAAUGAAAAAUGGUUGAAUUGUAUUGAAUGUGCUCCGAUUUAUAUGAAAAUCCGCUGUUUUUUUUUUUGCAUGGAUUUCGUCCAGUUAAUUGAAAUUGUGUUUGAAAUGUAUGCGGGCAACAUUGGAUUGUCAGCUUCUGCGUCCGUGUCUGUAGACGGAUGCAAGAGCAAAUUUGCGGGUCAACGUUGGGAGAUGCCCUAACUAUGCAAAGGCGCUCACUUUGACGCUUCAUUUUAUUAAACUAAAGUUCACCCUUUGUAAAAAAACACACAAUGAGGCACAUAGGAGGUUGAGAUUUAAAUGGGUCAAUAAUAAACUCAAUUUUACCAGCAAAAAUAAAUAAAAAAGAACUCAAUUUGAUACAAUGGCAAGGCCUCGCCCAAAUAAUCUCGUUGUGGAACUGACAAUCCACACGGCAUGGAAUCUUCAAACACGGUCAGGCGACCAAGACGUAGGAGGCGGCGGUGGCGGAGUCGUCGUCUUCGUCGGCGUCGUCGUCAUCGCCAUUACUGGGGCGGUUGAGGAAUGCGACGAGGAGCAAGACGCAGAAGAAGGUGAGGCAGUUCCGCACGUAACCCAUGACGGGGGCUUGAAUAACGAAGAGAAGGCAAAAGUAGUAGCCGAUGAUGGUGCGCAGCACGCUGAUCAAGAACCGCAUCUGAUCCGGCACCAAGCGGCAAGAAAGAGUGAGCGACAGCAUGCAUCGGCUGAAUCGCAUGCAUGGAGGAAACCAAACAUGGAGCAGAAGCCGUGGCGGAGGUAGACGCGGAGCGGCGGGAGGAGGACGGCGCACAGGAUCUCCAGGCACCGGCGGCACCGCGAGCCCGGCGCCGUCUCCAUCUCCUCCUCCGGUGGAUGCCGCUGUCCCCGGUGCAGGUGCUGCUCGCGGUCGCCGGAAGCGGAGGCGGGGGUGGGGCGAGGAAAGGACUGACGGAGCGCUCCUUGCUUCUGUCCAUUCGGUGGAACGAAGGGUAUAAACUCCUCGACCAGCGACCGACCGCGCGCGCGCUGACUCGUGUCACAAUAUUUAGAUUAGACUAGACAUUUCCGACUGUGCCAGUUGCAACUUGAAAUUUUAGACCAGGGUUGCGAAGUUAGACCCGUCCAGUCGAGUUUCGGCAGGAGACCAGCUGGGUCGAGGUUUUGGAGAUGAUCUUUUUUGUUUUUUGAAACCGGUUUUGUAGAUGAUCGUAACACAGAUUUCGUGUCUGGCUCACUAAUCACUACGAUCGGCCAAGGAUGAAACCAUUUGACGUCCUGACGGGGGCCGAUGUAGCAGAGGAUGGUGAGCAACAUGCUUAUCCAGAACUUCAUCUGCUACGUACGCGGCACACACCGGCAAACGAUAGCAACCGGGUGAACCGAGCUGCCAAUACAGCCCUGCAACUGGCACAUCACGGCGUCACAAUCACACCCUCAUUUACCUCCGUCCGGAAUUACAUCCAUUUCCACGACAACUAAUUCCGGACGGACGUCUAUUUGCACGACGACUAAUUCCGGACGGACAAAGAGAGUAAUUGCUCGACUUACCAGAAAACUGAACCAACACCGAAACCUGAUACUACAUCCCCUCAGAAAACAAAAACAAUAAACAAAAGAGAAAAACAAAAACUGAUACCACAAAUCAGGAUAGCAAUAUGCAGGAUUUCGUGUCUGACUCGCUACGAUUGGCAAAGGAUCAACUUCAUCCAUUUGUUACUACUGAUACAAUCGACUAGUUUUUUUGAUUCCAGUGCUGGACACUGCACAAACACGGAUGUUGGUAGAAUUCAGAAGAACACCACUUGUAUGAAGGGUGUAUUGACAGACAAGACUAUUUCGGAAGGAAAAAAAAAGGCACAUGAUGCAUUAUUCUCUCAGAUAAAUAUCUGUCAUGAACGAGGUUCUACAGUACAGAUUGUGUUAUCAACACCAGGAAGAGAAACAAAGAGCAAAUUCUCACAGGCAUAAACACUUAUUCUACAACUGAGCUUUAAAAGGAAUUUAAAAGGUACCACACUAAAGUUUUGUUGUGUAGUUCUUCAUAUCAUACAUGACACCUGGAACAGCCUUUUCUGGAUGCCAUACGUGAUUUACUUCGGAAAUUGCUAUUGUCAAGCAAGUCCAGCGACCGUUGCUGCCAGCAACAAGCAAUUUUUUUUUUCUGAUCCCACAUUUCCAUCAAAGACAUUUUGCGUAUCUUCUCUACCCUGUGGGUAUUGCAUCAAUCAUGACAAAAGCCGUAAUUGUGCAUAAGUUUGAGUCAACCAGGUCAUUGCAGUUCCUCCUUAUGCUCUUCAGCAUUUCCCAAUCAAAACAUAUUGAAUCUAUCAAGCAGAAGUACAUUCUUUCAUGAAUUAGAGUUUCUAUGACUGAUUUUGCCAUUGGAUAGCACUAAGACAUGCCAGGAAUAGACCAUGACCCAUAGACAGUUCGGAGCCUUUGGACCGGAAAUUGAGCACACAACAUACAUCAGUUUUCACAGGGAGUCCUGGUCGCAGCUAUACCAGGAACCGACCAUGGCCCACAUGCUGAUGAUCAUUCAACAAAACAGCCAAAACUACUCCUAUUGCGGGCCAACAACUAAUUAACAGCAUGCCCUUUUGCAAACUCAUACAAAACAAGAUUUGCUUCAAGUGAUCCUCCAAAUAGCAGCUAGUAUAACCGAUCAAUUUUAACUUCAAGUUUCUGUAGAGGCCCCCACCCCAUUCUCCAGUGGGAGAUCUCACUGGCCAUCACAACGAGAAGUCUUGCUUCGCUAUGCUGCAAUUUUUUAGCUCUUGUUUUCUGAAAAAUUGCCCAGAAGGAUAUGUAAUGUGAUAUGCUAAAAAUCAGAAUAACAGGCUCCGCAAGGAAAACAUUCCUAAAGCAUGCGGCAUAGCGGGCUUUCCACAACGUCCAAAUAACCGCUCCUACACCAACACUACUAAGUUCCUCGAUUUUGGAUCAAAACUAUUGCGGCAUCCAUGUAUGAUGUAUUAUCAUCAAAACAAAUAGGGGCCGGCAGGGAUUAAACGCACACCUCACCACAUUUCGUACAUAUAUCUUGCCACUGCACAUCUGAAAAAAAGUGAUCAAUACUCUCAUUCUCAUCACAGAAUGGACAUUUAAGCGUUCCCCGUCCAUCCUCUAUGUUACAAAACGUCUCUGGUUAAAAUGUUCUCCUAAAAGUUAACCAGAGAAAUACGUUUACUUUUUCAAUACAACGAUUUGAUGCGGCAGCAAUUAUAAUGAGAGUAUUGAUCACCUUAUAGGACAACUAGAAUAGUAUCACUACAAAUAUCAGUCAACUGGUACCAAAUAACAGCAAGGUCACGCUCUACGCACCUUGCACGUCUCAGCGCCGCCACAUCCCAGCGCCUUCCACGCAAAGCUUCUUCUCCCUGCAAAGCUCCGCCGCCAACACAUAUUUAGGCAUAUGGUACCACAACAUCUCGGAGCGAACAUACGUGUGGGUGGCCAACCGCGACAACCCGAUCACGAGCAGCUUGCCCGGGAAGCUGGUCGCGAGCAACACCUCUGACCUCGUCUUGUCCGACUCCGACGACCGUGUCCUCUGGGCGACGAAGACGAACAACGUCACCACCGCGGGAUCAGGUGGCAGAGGUGCGGUGGCGGUGCUGCUCGACACCGGAAACUUUGUUCUCCGGUCGCGGAACGGCAUGAAGAUAUGGCAGAGCUACGAUCAGCCAACUGACACCUUUCUUCCGGGAUUCAAGCUGUGGGUGAACUACAAGACCCACGUAGCAGCGCGCAUCGUUGCGUGGAAGGGCCCUGACGACCCGUCCACCGGCGAGUUCGUCUUGAGCGGCGACACCAGCACGGGCCUCCAGAUCCUGACCUGGUGAGGGUCGAGUCUCUACUGGCGCGCCGGGGUGUGGAACGGCGCCACGGCCGCCAGCUUCACCAAAUCCUUCUUGUCCCAGAUGAUCGAUGACGGGGAGAUGGCGUACUUCACUUACAACAGAGCCGACGACUCGGCCCCGGCGAGGUCGCACUGGAAGCUCGACCACACGAGCGAGGUGAUGUUCAGGGUGUGGGUGGAGGGGUCGUCGUCGUCGUCAUGGGUGCCCCUGUUCGAGCGGCCGGGCAAGGGGUGCCUCGUCUACGGCGCGUGCGGGCCGUUCGGCUACUGCGAGGUCAAAGGGGCCGUCCGGGAGUGCAGGUGCCUCGUCGGGUUCGAGCCGGCCGACGGCGGCGACUCCUCCAAAGCAGGGUGCGUGAGGAAGGAGGCGCUGAGAUGCGGCGGCAACAACAGUCAACGGAGGUGGAAUGAGCUGAUAAGGGAGGAAGAUGACUCCACCUUGCACGUCUGCUGACUCCUGUGACCAUAUAUACGUCUGUGCCAGUUGCAGUGACUGGCACUGGCACACCACACCAGGGUUGUAAAGUUAGACCCGUCUAGCUAGUCCAGAUUUGACAGGAAGCCAAAAUGGACCCGUCUGAUGACCCAAACUGGCGUUGAGGCCAAACGGCCCUUGUUGCUGCUUGAUCGAUGCGGGGAAACAGAAACCGCAAAGGACACAUCAUGGCAUCACAGGGGCAUCAGCAGCAAAGGAUGCAGAGUUAUCUCCAACUCUUUUUGGUAGGAUGGAGUGUCACUUCGAGGGUCGAUGAAUGUUGUAAAUUGAGCUCGGAUCACUUGGGCCUUUAAAAUAAAUACUAAGUCAAAAAGCAUAUUCUAAAGUUUUCUUAAACUUGAAAAAAUAUGGAAUUGCGCCCUCAUUUGUAUCCAUGUUAUAUCAACAAGAGAUGUUAUGUGGUAUGAGAGGACUAUGUCUGACCAUAUUAUUUUAGAAAAAAAAUGGCACAUCAUACACUAUUCUCACAGAUAAAUAGCUCAAGCGCACCAGCAUGAUCGAGGUUCUACAACACAAAUUGAUACAGAUUGUGCUAUCAACACCAAGUAGAGAAAAUAUAGAGCAAUUUCUCGCAGGCACAAGCACUAGUUAUUCUACAACCUGAAGUUUACAAGCAAAAGGAAUUUAAAACGUGUCUGACCAGAUCAUUUCAGAAAAAAAAACACUAUUCUCACAGAUAAACAUCUUAACUGCACCACCAUGAACGGUGUUCUACAAUACAAUCAAUACUGAUUGUGCUAUCAACACCAAGUAGAGAAAAUAGAGAGCAAUUUCUCACAGGCGCAAGCACUAGUUAUUCUACAAACUGAAGUUUACAAGCAAAAGGAAUUUAAAACGUGUCUGACCAGAUCAUUUCAGAAAAAAAAACACUAUUCUCACAGAUAAACAUCUUAACUGCACAACCAUGAACGAGGUUCUACAAUACAAUCAAUACUGGUUGUGCUAUCAACACCAAGUAGAGAAAAUAUAGAGCAAUUUCUCACAGGCGCAAGCACUAGUUAUUCUAUAACUGGACUUUACGAGCAAAAGGAAUUUUAAAUGUAUCAACGUUACUACAGUUUGUUGUGUUCAAUACAUGAUACCUGGAAUAACCAUUUCUGAAUGUGCCACCAUGAUUGACUUUGGAAAUUGCAUUUGACAAGAGCACCCCAGCAAUCAUUGCCGCCAGCAACAAGCAAUUUUUCUGAUCCCACCACAUCUCUUGUCAAGACAUAUUGUGCAUCUUCUCUGCCCUGUGGGCAUGUCAUCGAUCAUGCCAGAAGCAGUAGUUGUGCAAAGUUGAGUCAACCAGAUAAUCCCAGUGAAGGUGGCCCUCCUGCUUAAUUCAUGAAUUUGACUUUCUAUGACCGAUUUUGCCAUUGGAUGGCAC